CAGGCCCAGAGCCCCGCCGCCGCGGCGGCGCACCAGGAGAUGAUGGCCACGCUGAUGGUGCCCAAGAAGGAGGCGGCGGAGGAGGCCGGCAGGAACGACCUGUUCGUGGACCUCAGCUACGAUGACAUCCAGAGCAUGUACAACGGCCUCGACAUGAUGCCGCCCGGGGACGACCUGCUCUACUCCUCCCUCUUCGCCUCGCCCCGUCUCCGGGGGAGCCAGCCCGGCGCCGGCGGCAUGCCGGCCCCGUUCUAAGCAGAGCCGAGACAGAGACCGUCAGAGACAGAGAUCGACAGAAGCGGAACGGAUGACUUCUUCGCCGCGAGCAAGAUCGCUCGCGGACCAGUGUAAAUACAGCAUAGGAAACGGGAGGGAGGAUGCGUCGUCGUGUCUGAGAGAGCCGGCGUGGCGCGGUCGCCGGCGCCGGGGCGUGCCGCUGUACAUGGAGAGCCCGGUGCUGGGGCCUGGCCGGCUGGGUUGAUUCUUUUGUUCUUACUACUACUUUGUACUCUCAAUGCGGAUGUAGCUCUUUCUUCUCACUCCUCGGUAGUAGAAUCGACCGACCAAAUACAUAUGUAGCUCUGUUCCUUCCUUCUCUUCAGUAGAAAUCAACCAAAUUUUUCUGUUAUGCUGCUAUACUUCUCUGAUGUCGGGCAGGAUGAAUUGCCUCAAUUUUCAGUCAGUCUGAUCUACUGAUCUGCCUGUGUUGUGUUUGCCUGCCUGCUUGGACACACCAAGCACACUCCGGUUCUGCAGGUAGCUCUAUGUAGCUCGAGCUCCAGAACGAAUUUCUGAUAGUAUUGGUUCCUGUAAAAUGCUGGUUAGAAUAGAAAUCUGAAUGGCUGAAAAUGUUGGUUAGAAAUCUGAAUGGCUGUCCGAACGUAAUGCUUCCACGGAGCAGAAGCAUGCACGGCUGCUUGCUGUGAGUAACCUGUGGUUAUAUGUUUUUUUUAAACGGUUUUGCCUCAUCGAUUAAUUAAGAAAAAGAGAAUUGCCUGGUUAAUUAACGGAAAACCGGACGAAAACCGAUACAUAUAAAACUACUCGCUAAUAAAGAAACGCGAUGACCCCCGAUCAACCGGACAAACAUACAUAACACGCAACAACCAUGAUCCCUUGCACUUCUACGUCGCAAUGAAACUCCCAACGAAACUAAGGUUGAAUACAACAGACACCACCCAAUCCACGAAGACGAGCCAAUCGGAGAUGGUGAUCGAAGAGACUGAGUAUCAUCCAUUAAGCAGCCGCGGACGCCUUACCAAUGACACCAUUCUUCUUGCCUAUGCUCCUGAGAGCCUUCUUUACCUUUUUGAUUUUUUCCGUAGAAACCUCCUCUGCUAGGAGGCCGGCAAUCGCCUUGCCAGACCCCGGGCUAGCUGCCUCCAAACCAGCAAGCAAGCGGCAAAGCUUUUUCGCAAAGACCACCUCAUCAAUACGUGCCAUCAUACUUUCACGGUCAAAGAUGAGCGAUCUGAUGGUCUUCAACGCCUCAGAAUUAGGUGCCAAAGCACCUACCUCAUCAACCUCGGCACCCCCAGAUGCCACCUGGCCAACAGCCACAGAUGGGACAACAAUAGCAGCAUCCAAACCCCCACAGUUCACAAAGGUGAUCAGCUGAUUGGGCUCCAACGACGGAGGUGAGGUCGUAGUCGGCAUCGCCAAGGCCCCUCCAAGUGACUCCAUCUCCUUAGGAAGCACCAUCGAAAUACGCGAAGUGGGCUCCUCACAAAGCUUUUGCAGCUCAGGCAUAAUCUGCAGCACCGGAGCAACGACCUCAACAACGGUUUCACUCUCGGAAACAAUCGACAUGACAUGCAGCGAUGACAGGCAGGAUGUAGCACGAGGGGAGAGAUCUCCAUACAUGCCUGCUUCUCCAUCGGCAGAACCAUUGUGGAUCUCGGGCAACAGGGACACAACGGGCACAAUCUGGAGCUUGGCCAGAGCAGCCUCUGCACUUGCCAAAACACUCCCAACUCGCGCAAUGUAGUCGCGAAGCUCAGCGCGGAGUAGCUCAGUCUGCUCCACAAGGACGGGCUGCAAUGCCACAUCGACCGGUGUUGCAUCGACAUCUGAUGCAGGCACUGGGGUGGAUGGUGGAGCAGCAUGUCGCAGUGUCGUAGUCCGGUCGGUGCGGUGCUGUGCACGACAGAAACGCAAAGUGACGUGGUUAUAUGUGGAGUAAUGAGAAUAGGCGGCAGUGACGUUACUAACAAACACACACACACAAAAAAACACAACUUGAUCUUGGGCCAAAAUGGAACCAGUGAUAAGCCAGGCCCAGGAGGCAAACACAACAUUGAAAAUGAGGUAAUUCAUCCUGCCUGACAUCAGAAUAGUAGCAGCGUAGCCAGGCAGGGGAGGAGAGACCGCGUACAACACGAGCUCAAAUCUUCAGAAACUUCGGAUGAUUUGGAUAAAUCCACACAGAUCAUGAAAAAUUAGACUGAUAACAGGAAGAAAAUCAGACUACUACAAUGUUGAAGGUGGCAAACUUCCUUGUAUAAAAAAAUGUUUGGUUUUGAAUAUAGGGAUAAUAUGCAUUUGGGUAGUGAUUUGUGGUCUGCCCAAGAUCGACGAAGAAAACUUAAUCUCCAAAAACAUUUCUCCAAGAAGUACUGCUAGACGGACGACACUUCUCGGACGAUUUUUGGACGAUGCUAUGGAUCAAACCAUGCAUGGGUAGGAGGUAAGUGUCACACGGCCGUAGGAUCAACUCGUCGUCUCCAAAUCGGGCAAGGGUCGGCCACAUAUUACUCCCUCCGUCCCUUCUUGUCUUAGAUUUGUCUAAAUACGGAUGUAUCUGGUUACAUUUUAGUGUUAGAUACAUCCAUAUCUUGACAAAUCUGAGUCAAGAAAUUUGGGACGGAUGUUCUUAGGAAGAUUUUAAGAGUGCCAUCAUGGGGGUCUUUCCUUCUUAUUAGAGAUUUUGGAGUAGAAUGCUCUCUUCAUAUUUUUUGUCUUAGUUUCUCUUACUUCGAUCCCCAAAGAGAAUAAUGCUAAGGAAAUGAAAAAAAUUAGGCCUAUCAACCUUGGCAAUUGUGGUAUUUUUUGAAACUAUGCCUAUGACUAAUAGGAUCUCUCAUGUUAGUUGGUGAUAGGGAAAUGACUUCCCCAAAUCAAGAUGUCUUUAUUCGGGCCGUUUUAUUCUCGAAGUUCUUACGCUUUGGUACUUAAACUUGACUAUGAGAAAGCCUGUGACAUAGACUUGCCUCUAGUAAUGCUACUAGGUUUUGGUGAUAAAUGGAUCAAAUGUAUUGAAAUGGUUUGUUCCAAAGUUCUUUUUGUGUCAGAAUCAAAGAUACUAAUGACCUUAUUUUUAGUGGCAAAGGUCUGAAACAGGGGACCCCUUAUCUCCCAUUCUUUUUAAUUUAGUUCUGACAUUUUUUCUAAAAUGUUGGAAAGUGCUCCCUCUCAUGGCUCGAUUUGAGUACUUCUUCCUCGUCCCUGGAGGUGUCAUUUGUCUUUAAUACGUUGAUGACACUAUCGUUUUUCUGGAGAAAUAUCUGGACUAUGCUAGGAAUCUUGAGUUGAUUCUUUCCUGUUUUGAGGCCCUCUCAGGUUUAAAAAAUAUUUUUCAUAAAACAAUCUUUUAUGAAUAAGUGUGGAUGAUGCUGAGAUCAAGGAAUUUGUGCAGUAUUUUUCUGUAUGCUUGGUUCUUUUCCCCUCAAGUAUUUGGGGGUUCCCUUGCAUUACAAUAAAAAAAUUGACUGCUUACUGUGGGCAAACUCCCCCCCCCCCAAGCCUAGAUUUUAUCGAUAAAAAGGAAACAAGUACAAUAUUUACCAGUUGGGAGUAAGAAAAAAAGAAAAACUAACCUAUCAAGGGGGUAAAUAAGUAACCCAUCUAACUAAGUCAUGGAUUUAAUCCUAUGAGCUAACAAUGAGAUGUCAUGGACAAAACCUCUCUUCCACUUCAAAAAAGUGGGCCUCUCAUGUCACACCCUAGCUAAUUCAUGCAUUAAAGUGUUGCAUCAUGUCUAUUUUUCUCAACAGAAACUUGAAAUGGGGAUGACAGAACCCCCAGCCCCCUCUGAAACCAACUAGGGUUUACUAAAAAUAUUUUCAAUGAACCUGAAAUGCCCUUCUAAAAUGUCCAUCAUUUUUGCCUUGGUUCAGAACCUCUGCCAAAAGUGGUGCACAAUAUUCUAGGUAAUCCUAAGGUCUUUGAAUUAAAUCAUAAGUAUUUGAGUUUGGGCAUUUAAAUUAUAUAAAUUAUUUUAAAUGCUCAAAUAAUCCCAAACUAAAAUGUUCCAUGCUGGAUAUAUUCCAGUUAAUGGCCAUGAGCAGUUUGGUGAAUUUUGGAGUUGUUUAGGUAUUUUUAGUAAGUCCACAAAGUGACAGAAUAAAUAAAUAAAAAGAUAAAUAAAGAGAGAGAGAGAGGGAACUAACCUGGCAGCCCAACUAGCCAGCCCACCUAGCCGGCCCAGCCCAGCAGCCGCUCUAGCGAGCUGCUUGCCUUCGCCAGGCAGGCAGGCAGGUGCUCGACGGCGGCACCAGCACGUGCCAUGCAGCUGCCCGCCGCCCUGCUUCCUCCCCUCGCCUCUCUGCUGACCGGGUAUGAGCUCCACGUCGCGCCCCGAACCCCGUGGACACUUCCAUUUCCCCCUGCCUCUCUCCCUCGCUCUCCCACACCAUGGCCGAUGCCACCGCAGCCGCACCGUCGCCGUAGUCGCGCUCUCCAUCGUCCUUGCGCCGUGCCGUCGUGUCCAGGAGCUCCGCCGCCCUCCUCUUCUUCGAGCUAGCCGAGCCCCGAGCGCUCGCUUGCCCCGAGGCCUCUGCACCGACCUCGCCCGACUCCGCCAUCACCGGAGAUCCUCUUCGCCGUCACCACCGCACCAGCUCGUCCCCAACCGCGCCGUCUGGUUCCUCGAGAUCGCCGUGAGCCCAGCUACCUCUCCCCCUUUCCUUUCUCGCUUCCGAGCCCCGUAGCGACUGCACGUAGCUUACCCGCACGCGCCGCCGCGGAGCUCGUCACCGACAUGACUCCGGCCACCCACUGGCCACACCACCAUGUCCAACGCACUCACCGCACUCGUAGGAACCCGUAGCACCUCACCACGAGCCUCGCCGUGUCCCGUAGCUUCGGGUUCAUCAUCACGAACUCCGGCGACCGCCAAGGUCGUCGCCGGCGCCGUUUCCGGCCACCCCGAGCUCAACCAACGCCACCAAGAGCUGCGGCUUGCUCCCAGCUACACGUAGAUGCCCUCCGCGGCUCUUUUGGUCGCCGGAAUGCACAAAACCACUCUCGCCGCCACGUUCGGCCUCGCCAGCGGCUAAACACUGGCGAGUUGACCCCGCUGACCCCUCGUUUGACCACGGGUGGGCCCAGUUUGACCCUCCUGGGUCAAUGACAGGUGGGGCCCAGCCCUGUUAACUAAUCAGGAUUAGUUUUAAUUAAUAUUUAGUUAAACUAAUUACACUGACACACGGGACCCACUAGUCAGGGUUGACCUGGACUGUUCCGUUGACCGCUGAUGUCAUCCUGACGUAAUGCUGACGCAGUAAUUUAUUUACUGGAAUUAUUUUUAUACAGGAAAUUCCAGUAAAUACCACAAACUUUAAAAAAUCAUAGAAAUUAAUCUGUAAUUCCAAAUGCAAAGUUUUAUAUAUGAAAAAUGAUCAGAAAAAUCCAAUCUAUCCAUCUGUACUGGUUUCAUGCAUGUUUAAGCAAGCUAACCUGAUGUUUAGUGCAGAACAAGAUAAAGCACUUAAAAGGGCCAUUUAUGAGUUUGAAACUUGAAUCUUUGAUUCAAAAUGGUUCAAACCCAUCUGGUCUUAGUUGCAUUAGCCCAAUACACUCAUUUUGCCAUGUCUCAUGCAUGCAUCAUAUUGUUGCAUAUUGUUUGGUGAUGGUUGUGUAUCGGUGCUCUUUGCGGCAGGUUCUGCCUCCGAGGAGUACCACGAUUACCCUAACGAAGAACAAUUUCAGUGCAUCGAACCAUCAGGCAAGCAACCAACCAUUUGAUCAUAUCGAUACAAUCUCAUGUUCUCGCUUCUGCUCUCUUUUACUGCAUUAAGACAACGCGUUUCAAACUGCUGUGUGCUAUGGUAGUUGAACCCAUUUCCUCUGCAUGACCUGUCAUUGCCACAGUAACUAGAUGAAACCCACUAGCAUGUGUAGGAGUUGAUUGAGCCAUAUGUAUGUGUUGUUCCUACCUUGCUAUGCCUGCUAUGCUUAGAGUCGUGUCAGGUCUGGUUCAUCUGGGUGAUGAGCUAGAGUGAAAUGAUCAUGCCGGUAAUGAGAGUGAUGUGUUGAACACGAUUUGGUAAAGGUAUCGAUGAGAGGCCAUGUAGGAGUACAUGGUGGGUUGUUUCAUUGAAGCCGACCUUAAGCACUGAGAUCUGUAUGUGUGAUUUAAGAUUCAGCUACUACCAUGCAUUGGGCCCUGAAAUAUGACCCCGCUCGACUUCUUAUUCACCCUAGUCCUCUGUCCAGGAGUUGCAAGUAGUUUCUAGUGUUUGUAGCUUACUGGAGGCCGUGGGCAGCGCUGACCCGCGGGAUGGGCUGUGAUGCGGUAGGUACGUGGCCGGGUAUGCCGGGCACCCGUUAGGUGUCUCGGAACCCUGUACACAUCGUUCGGGGCCGUAUGUGGAAACCUCGGCCGGACUCCCUGCGGAUGGAACCUGAAUAGGCGAUAAACCUGGACUAGAGACUUAGGUGUUUAGGUAGGUCGUGGUCUACACCCACGUCGGCUUUCGCUUGAAGUCUGCCGAGCACAUGUCGUGUGCAGACGCUAAGUGGUGGAAACAUGUAUGAAGAAGUACACCCUUGCAGGGUUAACAUUAUCUAUUCGAAUAGCCGCGUCCGCGGUAAAGGACUACUUGGUUGCCUAUACAGUUCAUAGACAAGUAAAUAGAUACUACUAAAAAUCUCAAGAUAAGCAUGAGUGCCGAGGAUGGCUUUUCCGUAGGAUGACGAAGGUGGAUCCUCGGUGGUGUAUUGAGUUGGUGUGUAGUGGACUCGUGUGCGCAAAACCAUUUCAAGUUGGUGUCUCGUAGGAUAGCUUAGCCAAGAGUCAAAGCUGGCUUGUUGCAAUAACCCCACCAACCCUUCUUGAUAAUGUGCAUGUAUGUAGGAUCUGAUGUAAGUCUUGCUGAGUACCUUUGUACUCAUGUUGCUUUAAUUUACAUUUUCAGAAGACGCUGCAACCCCUUCUGAUGGGUUCUUCGUAGACGUUGACAUCGAUGAGUAGACUGAGGCCCAGGUGGUGAUCAUGAGCUUGUGAAGGACCAUGUAGUAUACCCAGGCUUCCCCAAGCCUCUUUUAUUUUACUAGUUGUCUGUACUCAGACAAGUUACUUCCGCUGUUGGCUUGUAUGUCUAUAUGACUUGAAUGCUGGGUCGUGUGACCCGUAUUUGUGUAUAUGAUAUGUAUGGCUCUCUGAGCCUUUAAAUAAAGUACUUGUGUUGUAGAUUCAUGUUGUGAUGCCUUGUUGUAUUUGCACAUAUCGAGCAUAUUGUGUGUAUGAUUGAAAUGCUUGGUAUGUGUGGGAUCUGACUAUCUAGUUGUUUAUCCUUAGUAGCCUCUCUUACCGGGAAAUGUCUCCUAGUGUUUCCACUGAGCCUUGGUAGCUUGCUACUGCUCCGGAACACUUAGGCUGGCCGGCAUGUGUCCUUCUUCGUUCCUGUGUCUGUCCCUUCGGGGAAAUGUCACUCGAUGGAUACCGGAGUCCUGUUAGCCCGCUACAGCCCGGUUUACCGGAGUCCUACUAGCCCAGUGCUACAGCCCGGAUUCACUCGUUGAUGACCGACACGUUCGAUGCUGGGUCAUGGAUGCCUGUCCCUGUAAGUUUGUGCCACUUUGGGUUCACGACUAGCCAUGUCAGCUUGGGUUCUUUGUCAUAUGGAUGCUAGCGGCACUAUCAUAUACGUGAGCCAAAAGGCACAAACGGUCCCGGGCCAGGUAAGGUGGCACCCGCGGGAAUACCGCGCGUGAGGCCGCAAAGUGAUAUGAUGUGUUACAUGCUAGAUCGAUGUGGCAUCGAGUCGGGGUCCUGACAGCGUUGGCAUUAGAGCCGGACUGCCUGUAGGUUCUCCAAGCCAAACUGGUCGAUGUUGAGUCUAGAAAUGCUUUAGUUAUAUGUAGGGGAAUUGAUUGUGGGAUGGAACGUAAGGCACUUUUUACUCCUUUACCUCAUGGCAUUCUGAUCUGAGUCAGUCUAUUCUUCCACCGGGGGUUAAGGAAUUAGGAUCUCUUCUCUCUAUCAGGUUCACGUGUUACUAAUCAGUAGUACCUUAUAGGUUUGAUGGAUACAAACCUAGUUCAGUUCUACUACCCCAUUAUGUUGUUAAGAUGGACCCAGAACCUUGAUAUGAUGUUGUUGAGUGUCUAUGCAAUUCUUUGCAAAAUGCCUCAAAAUCCUUUUUGAGCAUUUACAGCCGUUAUGCUGUCCAAUUUCUGCUAGAAAUUCUAAUGUCUUGUGUUAUAUCAUGUUCCAGAUGACUUCCCGUCCUCAGAAUCAAGUGGUUCGUUUGACUCGAUGCCUAGAUGUACCCGGCCAUACUGCCAUGUUGGUCAGGGUAAUGACUGAGGCUGGAUACCGUUGGUAUCCUGAGUACACGGUCGAAGAGCAAUUCCGAGACUUUAAUCAAAGUCAAUAUUUUUGCACUGUCAGGAUAUUUCCAUCUUAUCCUAGGUCUACCCAGCCCCUCCACUGCUCCUAUGGACUCGGGGUUACUAUUGAGAUGGCUGUGCAGGAUGCUGCCUACUCUAUGAUGACCAUCAUGCGAGUCAGGACUGGCUUGUUUCGGAACUCCGACUUCCGAUAUAUGCCAACUUCACUCCCGGGAGCACAAGGGUAUCUCCAGGCUAUCUAUGCUGACUCCACUCAGGAGGACUCACUGACCUGCACCACUGCAUAGUUGCUUGAAGACAAGGACCGUGAAAAUCGGGCCUUGAGACUGGAGCUUUUCAAUACCCGUGCUGAAUAUUGGGCCACCUUGACUCGGUUUGCACCGGCUGUGCAAGCUAGAUAUAUGGAUAUGAGAGAUCUCUACCCUGUGAGAUCUACUCUGCCAGACAUGGUGGAUUGGCGUGAUGUAGGAGGCAUCACCCCACUUCGUGGUCCCCGCAGGCCACCAUUUGUUGGUCCAAGACCUCAUCCUAGCCCCUAUGGUCCACAAGUUCCACGGGACUGUCUGUUUCCGGAUGAUCACGUUGAGCUUCCAGGCUAUGGAGGUGACUUCUAUGAAGACUACUACGGAGUUGUCUGAGUUAGUAGUAGUAUCACUAGUAUCGUAUUAGUUGUAUCGUCCAUCGUCCUGCGUUACUCGUGGGAUAUGACUUAGCUUGUACCACCUUCCGGAGGUGUAGAAAAAUAAUGUAUAGGAGCUUGGAAUGCCUCCGAUGAGAUGUAAUCUUCCUUUCACCGUAGUAGUACUUUGUUUGGUUUUGUACUAAACCUUGUAUGGUGUGUAUGACGAUGGAAUAAAAGAAGCAGUUUCUGUAUCUACCAUGUCAUACGGAUGAUCAUCUUACAUUCCAAGUUAUCCAUUACAUUCUAUAUUUCUAUGUCAGAAUCUUAUCAUCCUGGACUAAACCAUUGUCUUGUUUUCCCUAGGAUGGUCAACACCCGCAACAACCCUGCUCUCUCAGAGCAGGCCGAAGGCAGCAGAGUUGGGGAAACAAACCUGCCUCACCCUCCUUCUCUGGCCGAGGUUAUGCUGGAGGCUGAGAGAAACAAGCGGGAGACCAACCGUUUGUUGGAGCGCAUCGAGCAAAACACAGCACAUCAUCAUAGGAAUAACUUGGUGUCACUCAGUGACUUCAUCAAGUUACAUCCACCCACUUUCCACCACUCCGUCGAGCCCCUCGACGCUGAUGACUGGCUUCGCAGUAUUACUCACAAGCUACGCUCUGCACUCGUAGCUGAGGCUGACAAGGUCACAUUUUCUGCAUAUCAUCUUGAAGGCCCCGCCAGUCUCUAGUGGGAGAACUAUGGAACCAUGCGCCCAGUGGGCCAGGUCACUACUUGGGCUGAAUUCAGCGAGGCUUUCCGUGAACACCACAUUCCGGAGGGUCUUAUGGACCGUAAACGUGAGGAGUUCUGCAGUUUCACUCAAGGUCGACUCUCUGUGAAUGCAUACAGCAGGGAGUUCGGUAACCUAGCACGGUAUGCAACUGAGGAAGUUUCCACUGAUGCCAAGAAGCAAGCAAGGUUCCGCAAGGGACUUAGCCCUGAGCUUCGCCGUGACCUCCGUCUGCAUGAGUGCACAUCUUUCCAGAAGCUUGUAAACAAAGCCAUCAGUGCUGAGUCUGGUUAGACUGAUUAUGAAGCAACACGCAAGCAUGGGCGUGACUUGGGUUCCUCAUCCGGUGCUGGUCCUCAGAAGCGCCGGGUGUGGGUGCCUAACACCGCCCUGCCACCCAGGUUCACACCGAGGCCAUCCUAUCAGGAGCCUCGCCCAGCUCAACAGUAUGCACCAGCCAAGCCCUAUGGUGGUCCAACCAACAAUGCUCCUCCACGCACCAGCUCCAUGACAUGCUUCAAGUGUGGGGAAUCGGGCCACUACCUGCGCGAGUGUCCCCAGACCAACCCCAACCAGUCUAGAAAAGUUGUUGGCCAUGGCAAGCCGACAGGGAAAGUGUUCUACGCUAAGCCGGCCACCACUGCACGUGGCCAUGUCAACUGUAUCUCUGCUGAAGAAGCUCAAGAGGAUCCAAACGUCGUUCUCGGUAUGCUCCUUGUUAAUUGCCACCCGACAUCUGUUCUUUUCGAUACUGGAGCAUCUCAUUCAUUCAUAUCUGAAAAUUAUGCCCAUUUGCAUAACACUGCAUUCUGCGACAUGCCGUCCACUAUGGAAAUUUCUACUCCUGGUUCUAGAUGGAAAACCUCUAGAGUAAGCCAUGGAAAUGAAAUUCAAGUCGAUAGACUUGUUUUUCUCGCAUCUUUGAUAGCUCUCAAAUCUUCGGAUAUUAAUAUCAUUUUGGGUAUGGACUGGAUGUCAGCCCAUCAUGCCAAGAUUGAUUGUUUCUCUAGGACCGUUCAACUCACCCAUCCUUCGGGAAAGAUAGUCAAUGUCUUGACCCGAGUAGCCAAGCGACAGCUAUAUUCUCUUAACGCCAGUCCUUUGCCAGACCUCGAAGACGUUCCGGUAGUCCGUGACUUUCCGGAUGUCUUUCCAGAAGAAUUGCUAGGUGUUCCACCUGACAGAGAUGUCGAGUUCGUAAUAGAUCUCAUUCCAGGAACUGUCCCAAUUUCUAGAAGACCCUAUAAAAUGGCACCACUAGAACUAGCCGAGCUUAAGAAACAACUCGAUGAGUCCUUGAAAAAGGGUUUCAUCCGUCCUAGUUCGUCUCCAUGGGCUUGUCCCGUUCUCUUCGUCAAGAAGAAGGAUGGUACGGAUCGGAUGGUUGUAGAUUAUCGACCAGUCAACCUGGUCACAAUCAAGAACAAGUAUCCGCUCCCCAGGAUCAAGGAUCUGUAUGAUCAGCUCGCUGGAUCCUCAUUCUUCUCCAAAAUGGAUUUGAGAUUGGGCUACCAUCAAAUCAAAAUCAGGAACGGGGACAUUCCUAAAACGACCUUUGUUACUCAUUAUGGCCAAUAUGAGUACACCGUCAUGUCCUUUGCUUUAACCAACGCUCCAGCCACUUUCUCUCGCUUAAUGAACUCAAUCUUCAUGGAGUAUUUGGAUACAUUCAUUGUGGUUUACCUCGAUGAUAUACUCAUCUACUCCAAGAACGAGGAAGAACAUGCCGAGCAUCUAAGGCUAGUGUUGAUGAAACUUCGAGAGCAUCGCCUUUAUGCCAAGUUCUCUAAAUGCGAAUUUUGGUUGCCAGAAGUGACCUAUCUAGGACAUGUAAUUUCUGGUAAGGGUAUUGCUGUCAAUCCCGAGCGAGUUCAAGCCGUCCUUAAUUGGACUCCACCUGAAUCGGUCAAGCAAGUUCGGAGUUUCCUUGGCUUAGCGAGCUAUUGUCGCCGCUUUGUCGAGAACUUCUCCAAGGUUGCUAAACCUCUAACUGAACUCCUCAAGAAAGAUAAAAAGUUCGAGUGGACUCCACAAUGUGAGCACAGCUUUCAGGAACUGAAAAGACGCCUGACAUCUGCUCCCGUACUAGUACCACCAGAUUUCUCUAAGGAGUUUGUUAUCUAUUGCGACGCCUCGCGACAAGGACUAGGUUGCAUUCUUAUGCAAGAUCGUCACGUAAUUGCUUAUGCUUCACGACAAUUGCACCCACAUGAGGAGAAUUAUCCUACUCAUGAUCUAGAGCUUGCAGCUGUAGUCCAUGCACUCAAAACCUGGCGACAUUACCUCCUCGGUAAUCAUUGCAAAAUCUUCACUGAUCAUCAAAUUCUGAAGUACAUAUUCACCCAACCGGAUUUGAAUCUCAGGCAAAGACGUUGGGUCGAGUUGAUCACAGAUCUCGACUUAGGGAUAACUUACACCCCAGGAAAAGCCAAUGUCAUGGCUGAUGUACUAAGUCGUAAAUUUUAUUGUAACAAUCUGAUGUUACAACAAAGUCAACCGCUUCUCCAUGAGGAAUUUCGGAAGCCUAAUCUUCACAUCGUUCCUCAAGGAUUUCUUUCCACCUUGGUGGCGAAACCUACUCUUAUGAAUCAAAUCAUCACUGCCCAAAAGCGAGAUAAAGGGAUAUCUAGGAUCAAGGAGAACAUUGCUAGAGGAGGUGCUAGAUAUUUCUCCACAAAUGAUCAUGGUGUUGUGUACUUUGAGAACCGUUUAGUGGUUCCCAAGAACCAGCAUCUACGGCAGUUGAUCCUUAAGGAGGCUCAUGAAUCUCCUCUCACCAUUCAUCCCGGUAGUACCAAGAUGUAUCAGGACCUACGCCAGAGGUUCUGGUGGACUAGGAUGAAGAGAGGCAUUGCUCAAUUUGUUGCUAAUUGCGACAUCUGUCGUCGUGUUAAAGCGGAGCACCAACGGCCUGCUGGCACCCUCCAACCUUUAGCUAUUCCUGAAUGGAAAUGGGAUAAAAUUGGUAUGGAGUUCAUCACCGGUUUUCCCAGGACCAAGAGAGGGAAUAACGCUAUCUUUGUCAUUGUCGAUUGUCUUUCCAAAGUGGCCAAUUUCUUGCCUGUUCGCGAGAGUAUAACCUCUAGUCAGCUAGUAGACUUGUAUAUCUCCCGAAUAGUAUCCCUCCAUGGUGUUCCACUGGAAAUUAACUCGGAUCAAAGAAGUCUCUUCACCUCUUGAUUUUGGGAAAGUUUCCAAAAUGCUAUGGGAACCCGCUGUCGGUGUCAAAACCGGCGGAUCUCGGGUAGGGGGUCCCGAACUGUGCGUCUAGGCGGAUGGUAACAGGAGACAAGGGACACGAUGUUUUACCCAGGUUCGGGCCCUCUUGAUGGAGGUAAAACCCUACGUCCUGCUUGAUUGAUAUUGAUAUUGUGGAUGUUUACAAGAGUGGAUCUACCACGAGAUCAAGGAGGCUAAACCCUAGAAGCUAGCCUAUGGUAUGAUUGUAAUGGUUGUUGUUGUCCUACGGACUAGAGCCAUCCGGUUUAUAUAGACACCGGAGAGGGCUAGGGUUACAUAGAGUCGGUUACAACGGUAGGAGAUCUACGUAUCCGUAUCGCCAAGCUUGCCUUCCACGCCAAGGAAAGUGCCAUCCGGACACGGGACGAAGUCUUCAAUCUUGUAUCUUCAUAGUCUUGGAGUCCGGUCGAUGAUGAUAGUUCGGCCGAUGAUGGUAGUCCGGCUAUCCAGACACCCCCUAAUCCGGGACUCCCUCAGUAGCCCCCGAGCCAGGCUUCAAUGACGAUAAGUCCAGCAUGUGUGUAGUCUUCGGUGUUGCAAGGCGGGUUCUCCUUCAAGUUCUACGUACCUGCCGAACAGUGUCCGGCUUCCUCAUCAAUGUUGCGUGUCUUGGCUUCCACGCCCAAUAACGGCCUUCUUCCACGCGUCACACGAAUGUGAAAAGCCAGGGUGUCUUUUAUGUUUUACCCCCUAGUUGUGCGAAUAAUCUGCCUAUAAGGGAGGCAAGAAUCCAGAUCCAAAUCACCAUCUUCCUCCCACAAAUACUCAUCUGAGCGCUUUCGACCAAGAAUCCAUUCCAUCAUGGACCGUCAAUGCAGCUCCUCUUCUCGUGCUCCCAGCCCUUUGCCAGGAGAUUGGAGGAGAUGCUCUGUUCCGCACAACGAGCUGGUGAAGCUCCAAGCGGGGGGAUAUCUCCCUCCGGCCUUUAUGGUUCCGGUUCGAGUCGGGCUGGCCACCUACAAAGGUGGGAAGCAAGUGGAGGUUACCCCAAGUCCCAACAAAGGGGAGCGGGUAUGCUUCGUCCCCUAUCUGAUAAGGGGGCUCGGAUUUCCUGUACAUCCAUUCCUCCGCGGGCUACUGGAGUUCUACGGACUCCAGCUUCAUCACCUCACGCCCGCCUCAAUCCUGCAUAUUGCGGGUUACGUAGCUCUUUGCGAGCUAUUCCUGGGCGUCGAGCCCCAUUUCGUGCUGUGGAAGAGGUUGUUCUGCCUUGUACCCCGUUCUCACGAGGGGUCCAUAUAUCAAGUGGGCGGCGCCGAAAUAUGGCGCAUUGCCGGGACCGGAUAUCCAUCCGGAACCCCCAAGGAGGUGUCCGAAGACUGGCCUUCAGAAUGGUUUUAUAUAGAAGACGCUCCGCUGCCGGACCCUGUUCAGAUCGGCCUCCCGGAGUUCAACAAUGCUCCUCUGAAGAAACGCCUUAGUUGGCGUCCGCGGAGCCCCCAACUGGAGGAAGACAAGAGCGUCCAUUAUUUGAUGGGCCGAAUAAGGUUACUGGCCCAUGCUGGGCUGACCAUGAUUGGAGUCAUGGCGACAUGCAUUAUGCGGGGGGUGCAGCCACUACAAUACAGGGGCCACCCCAUGUGGGAUUUCAACAGGGAGGACGAUGCCACCCGUCAUGGCCGCAAAGGGCCGUAUUCGGUCGAAGAUCUGGGGACGAUCCUGUCCGGCCUGUAUAAGGGGGAGAAGGAGGAUUUCCUUCGGACGAACCCGUUAAAUGGGUUCUCCAUGAAUAAUCCUCGGCCUUGGGUAAGCGAACACUCUACGUGCCCGACCCAUGCUUUUUGAAACUUAAGUUUCUUAUAUUGUGUUCUUCUUUCGAUGCAAGAGCUGCGCCGGAUCGUGGAGGACAUGCUAAGUCCAGCUCCGCAACCCGAGGAUCCAGAGAGAUCCCGGGAUCCGGCCUCCGAAGAGGAUCCGGACAUAAUGGUGGAGCUAAUCGACGGGGUGUUCCACCAGCUCAGCAUGGACAAUGCUUUAGUCGCCAUCACGGCCGACUAUCCCGGACUAUAUCCGGCUUCCCAGGUGAUUGCGACCGAAGUCCUGACACCGUCAUUCCUUCCUUGCUUAUUUCUGACCACCGUAUACGAUGGCGCUGUGCAGGAGCGCCCCUAGGGUGAGAAGCCGAGCCCGCGGUGGCUGGCCAACAAAGGCCAGUCCGGACCAGUAGGCGGAAGAGGAGCGCGGCGCGGACUGAAACGUCGCCGCAAAGGUGUAGCUCACAAUUCAUUAUUUAGAGCAACGUUCCCAGGAACCGUUUGAGUGCUCAUGACUUUUGUAGGGAAAAAAGCGUCCGCCGGACUACGGGCGUGGAGGUUGCCAAUCCAACCUCUACCAGCCAGGCACCAACACCUGGUCUGGAGGGGGAGGCGAGCGCAAGGCGCGAGCCGGACGUUCCUCCGACGGAGGAUGCCGACAGACUGUCCGCCACCAAGUCUGAGGUGGAGAGUGCCCUGAAUCACAGGCGCCGCCGGACAGUAUUUCGUGACGCGUGCUUCUCCCCCGAGGCGUUGAAUGCCUUUAACGCGGGGGACGCGCACCUUCGUGCUGCUCAAGAUGGUUUUACCAGAGCCACGGAGUAGUAUGUAAAAGACAUACGGGUAAGAGAAUUUAAUAGUUGUAUAUGCCAGUAGCCCCCGAGACGUAAAGUAGUUAUAUUAACUGAUUUAAGGAUCAUAUGAAACGUAGGAUCUUACCGAGAAGAAUACCCAAUUGUCUCAGGAGCUGCAAGAGUGCAAGGCCCAACUUGAGGCCGCACUCUCUGGCGCAGGAGGAAACACAGGGACCUCUCCUGGUAACGCAUUAUUUUAGAAAGAUAAGUAGCGUUUGGCCUUUGUGCAAGUCUAAAAAAUGACAUUGCAGGUGCUGCCGGACAAGAUCCGGACAGGCAAGAACUUCUGCGCCAACUAAAGGCCGGCGAGAGGGUGCUGCAUAAGGUGCAGCAUGAAAGGAACAAGCUCCAGGAUGCCCAUGCCCAGCUUGGAGAAGAGCUGAAAGGCGUUCGGGCCGAGCUGUCGGGCUCCGGUAAGGAGAAUCAGCGGCUUCAUCGCGGCAUCUAUAGUAAGUGCUUGAGCGAACUCCUUUGAAAAGAAGAGUUCGGCGAGGAAGUCAAUUUGACAGAAUAUGUCUGCAGGUGUGCUCACAGGUCGCCCUGCGGAGGAGAUGCCCGUAUCAACGGGUGAUCAACUUCCCGAAUUGUUGCAACUGAUCGAACGAGUUCGACAGGCAAUGAGCGGCGUCAUCCAGGCUUUAUGGCCAGCCUUCUCCUUACCCGAGGGUCUUGGGGAGCUUGUGUAGAAGCUUCAGGGAGUGCGGCAACGCUUCCAUUUAUGGAAGAUUUCGGCCUGCCGCCAAGGUGCCAGGGAGGCCUGGGCCAUGGUAAAGACGCGGUACAAGAAGGCGGAUCCCAACCACAUGGCCGAAGUCGGACCUGUGGGGCCCGAUGGGAAGGAGAUCCCUGUGAGUUUAGUAUACGGCCAAGUAGAGCUGACCGCUAAAUUUUCCCAACAGGACUGUAAAUUAGACAACCUGUUAGACGGGAUUGAGGAAGAAUACAAUCAGUCGAUUUGACAAUGUAUUAUAAAAUGACAUAUAAAAUGCCUUCUAGCCGGAUUGUAGAUCGUUUGUCUUUGCCGACCUUUUCGCUUCGACCUCGGGACCCUAGAGUCCGGAGUGUGUCCGAAUACCUUCUCGGUUAUGAAACAACCAGGGUAUGCAUGGAGACCAGGCGUAGGGGUCAUUAGUGCUUUAUCAGACAAGUGCCCAACUAGUUAUGUUAUAUUACAUGGGUAGUAAGAAACAUCUUCCAGGGAGAAUAGUUCUGUUAAGGGUUCCUUUCCUCUGGGGGUGGCAUGCCCUAAAGUGCAUGUCUGGACUACGAAAAAAGCAGAAAAAACAUCUGGGGGCAGAUAAAUAAGUGGAUAAAAAAUCAUCUUUUAAGUCACCGACCAAAUAUUCCCUUAAGAACGCUAGCUUUCGGCUUCACCCAGUCUGAGGUACACAUCCGGCUGACCCGGCAGUAACAAUCACAGAGGUGCUCCCUUUACCUCCUAGCCAAACAAUCGGGAACGUAGGGGUAAGCACAGGAGCCAGGCAACCCAGCUUGGCCAAAACUUAAGUCAUAUCGAUGCAUAUAAUGGUGAAUAAAAGGUACAUGUGGAGGCUUGACACAUGUGCUGGGCAUGAAGCCCUUAUAAUUAAGCUUCUGGUAAAGAAGCCCCCAGGUAUAAUGAGUGCGGAUAGCACAUCAGUUGCGCGCGAACGUUGCGCAAGUAGGCCCUUUAAGGCUUUGAUGAAUAGGGUUGAGAAGAAAAAGAUAAACAAAAGGCAGCUGAAGUAAAAACAAAAUUUGGAUGGGGGGAAGGGACGAACUCUUAGUCCGGCGCUAGGCAUAGAAUCUUCGGAGGCGGGCUGCGUUCUAUGGGUUCGGCUCAAGUCGGUUAUCCGAUGCAUUUCGCAGACGGUACGCUCCGCCGGUCAGGACUUGAUCGAUGAUGAAGGGGCCAUCCCAUUUGGGCUUGAGCUUGUCCUUUUUCUUGUCCGGCAGGCGUAGAACUAGUUCGCCAACGUUGUAAGUCUUGGCCCGUACUUCUCUGCUUUGGUAUCUUCGAGCCUGUUGCUGAUAAAAUGCGGAACGAGCCUUGGCGACGUCGCGUUCUUCCUCCAAUGCGUCCAAGCUGUCCUGCCGAUCCAACUUGGCUUCUCUUUCUUCGUACAUGCGCACUCGAGGUGAGUCAUGAAUGAUGUCGCAGGGCAAAACUGCUUCUGCGCCGUAUACCAUAAAAAAUGGUGUGAAUCCGGUAGUACGGUUAGGCGUUGUCCGCAGCCCCCAGAGUACGGAGUCGAGUUCUCUACCCAGUGUGUGUCAGAUUUCGUAAGGGACCACACUAGUCUGGGUUUGAUGCCGCUCAUUAUUAAACCAUUUGCUCGUUCCACUUGACCGUUGGUUUGCGGGUGAUAGACUGAAGCGUAAUCGAGCUUGAUGCCCAUAUUUUUGCACCAUGAUUUAACCUCGUCGGCCGUGAAGUUCGUGCCGUUAUCGGUGAUGAUGCUGUGGGGGACACCGUAACGGUGUACUACCCCGGAUAUGAAGUCUGUCACUGGUCCGGACUCUGCCGUUUUAACUGGCUUGGCCUCUAUCCAUUUGGUGAAUUUAUCCACCAUGACCAAUAGGUAUCUUUGCUUGUGGGUUCCCCCUUUAAGUGGUCCAACCAUGUCAAGCCCCCAGACCGCGAACGACCAGGUAAUGGGUAUAGUUUUGAGGGCGGUGGGUGGCAUAUGGCUCUGAUUAGCAAAGAGCUGACAACCGACGCAUCUUUGGACUAAGUCCUGAGCAUCUGCCCGGGCCGUCGGCCAAUAAAAUCCUGUACGGAAUGCCUUUCCUAUAAGGGCCCGGGCUGCAGCGUGGUGUCCGCCUAGUCCAGCGUGAAUUUCAGCCAGAAGGUCUCGCCCUUCCUCUUCGGAGAUACACCUUUUAAGGACUCCGGUUGUGCUUUUCUUAUAGAGUUCUCCCUCAUGGACCUUGUAGGCUUUAGAUCACCGGACUACGCAGCGGGCCUCAUUAUGGUCUUCGGGGAGUUCCUGCCUAAGCAAGUAGGCGAGGAAUGGUUCUGUCCACGGGGCAAUUACUGCCAUUAUGUCGUGGGCUGAAGGUGUUAUGUCAUCGGCUGAAUCGCCGGUUGGUGCGAAUUGUUCCGGUUUGUUAUUUCCGGACUCCUCUUCCCGUAGUACGGAUGGCUUGAAGAGCCGUUCCAAGAAGAUGUUAGGAAGGACAGCGUCGCGUUUUGCGCCGAUGCGUGCCAGUACGUCGGCUGCUUGGUUAUUAUCCUGGGCUACGUGGUGGAAUUCAAGUCCUUCAAACUGGGCUGCCAUUUUUAGGACAGCGUUGCGAUAUGCUGCCAUUUUCGGAUCUUUGGCGUCAAAGUCUCCGUUUAUUUGGGAUAUUGCGAGGUUUGAAUCCCCGCGCACCUCUAGGCGUUGAAUGCCCAUGGAGAUUGCCAUCCGGAGACCAUGUAAAAGGGCCUCGUAUUCGGCUGCGUUGUUGGAGUCCGUGUACAUUAUCUAAAGUACAUAUUGGACUGUGUCCCCGGUCGGGGACGUCAAUACGACGCCAGCCCCCAAUCCGGCUAACAUUUUAGAGCCGUCGAAGUGCAUAAUCCAAUUGGAGUAUGCGCCGUACUCUUUAGGGAGUUCGGCUUCGGUCCAUUCAGUGACAAAGUCAGCCAAAACUUGUGACUUUAUAGCUCGCCAAGGUUUGUAAGUUAUAUCAAAUGGUAAGAGCUCAAUGGCCCAUUUUGCAAUCCUGCCCGUUGCGUCGUGGUUGUUUAUAAUGUCGUUAAGUGGUACUUCAGAGGCCACUGUUAUCGAACACUCUUGAAAGUAGUGUCGGAGCUUCCGGGAUGCCAUGAACACCGCGUAUGCGAUCUUCUGAUAGUGCGGGUAACGGGACUUGCAGGGGGUUAACACAGUGGAUACGUAGUAUACUGGUUUUUGAAGAGGGAAUUUAUGCCCUUCUGUCUCUCGUUCGACGACGAGUACCACGCUUACAACUUGAUGCGUUGCUGCGAUGUAUAACAACAUUGGUUCACCCAGGUUGGGCGCAGCCAGGACUGGCUUUGUUGCCAAUAUGGCCUUUAUUUCUUCGAGUCCGGCGGUGGCAGCAUCCGUCCACUCAAAGUGUUCGGUGCGCCUAAGGAGGCGAUAGAGGGGCAAUGCCUUUUCUCCUAGACGGGAGAUAAAGCGGCUUAGAGCCGCCACGCAUCCAGUCAAUUUUUGUAUUUGCUUGAGGUCUUUUGGGAUAUCUAGCUGUGACAGAGCUCGGAUCUUGGCUGGGUUUGCUUCAAUUCCUCUACUGGAUUCGAUGAAGCCCAGCAGCUUUCCAGCUGGUACGCCGGAAACGCAUUUUUCCGGAUUCAGCUUGAUGUCAUAUGCUCUGAGGUUGUCGAAUGUGAGCCUCAAGUCGUCUACUAGAGUUUCGACGUGUUUAGUUUUGACGACUACGUCGUCUAUGUAUGCCUCUACAAUUUUGCCGAUCUGGGUAGCCAGACAUGUCUGAAUCAUGCGCUGAUAUGUUGCGCCGGCGUUUUUAAGUCCGAAAGGCAUCGUGUUGAAGCAGAAUGGUCCAUAUGGAGUAAUGAAUGCCGUUGCGGCUUGAUCCGCUUCUGCCAUCUUGAUUUGAUGAUAGCCGGAGUAUGCGUCCAGGAAGCACAAUGAAUCAUGGCCUGAAGUGGCAUCGAUGAUUUGGUCGAUGCGGGGGAGGGGGAAGGGAUCCUUUGGGCAGGCUUUAUUUAGGUAUUUGAAAUCGACACAUAGGCGCCAGGAUUUGUCCUUCUUUGGUACCAUUACCAGGUUUGCUAGCCAAUCCGGAUGUUUGAUGUCUCUGAUGAAUCCGGCUUCCAAUAGUUUGGCUAGCUCUUCUCCCAUUGCCUGCCUUUUGGGUUCAGAAAAUCGUCGAAGAGCCUGUUUGACUGGCUUGAAUCCUUUUAGGAUGUUUAGGCUGUGUUCUGCCAAUCUGCGUGGGAUUCCGGGCAUAUCCGAGGGGUGCCAGGCAAAAAUGACCCUAUUUUCCCGAAGGAAUUCUCGCAGUGCGGCGUCUACAUCAGGGUUCAAUUGUGCCCCGAUGGAGGCCGUCUUUGUCGGGUCCGUUGGGUGGACCUGGAAUUUUACUAUUUCAUCUGAUGGUUUAAAGGAGGUGGACUUGGAUCUCUUAUCGAGUAUCACAUCGUCCCUAUUCACCGUAGAGCGCAGCGCGGUGAGUUCCUCUACCGCUAGGGCUUCGGAUAGUGCCUCUAAGGCUAAUGCGGCUGUCUUGUUUUCGGCGCGGAGUGCUAUGUCCGGAUUACUAACGAGAGUGAUUAUUCCACCGGGCCCAGGCAUUUUGAGCUUCAUGUACCCGUAAUGGGGUAUGGCUUGAAAAAUUGUGAAUGCCUCUCGUCCUAAUAUAGCGUGAUAUCCGCUGUUGAAUGGGGCCACUUGGAACGUGACUUCUUCGGAUCUGUAAUUGUCCGGCGAGCCGAAUACCACAUCGAGUGUGAUUUUUCCUGUGCAGCGCGCCUCCCGGCUAGGGAUUAUCCCUCUAAAGGUUGUGCUGCUUCGCUCAAUGCGACUCCAGUCUAUUUCCAUUUUUUGAAGGGUUUCCUCAUAGAUGAGGUUUAAUCCGCUGCCGCCAUCCAUGAGGACCUUUGUAAGUCGAAAGCCGUCCACUAUUGGACUAAGUACCAGUGCGGCUGGAGCUCGGGCUGUUCGGAAUUUAGGUUUGUCGCUGGCGUUGAAGGUGAUGGCUGUGUCGCUCCAUGGAUUAGUUGUUGCUACUUGGUAGACUUCGGCAAGGCUGCGGAUUGUUCGUUUCCGCAUAUUGUUUGAUGCGAAAGUCUCGAAGACUGUUGAUACCGUACCCGUAUUGUUGGAGUGGUUUUCCGGGGCUAGAAGCUCCUCUCCACUUUUGGCCACCUGCCGUAAUAUCCAACAUGCUCGAAGGCUAUGUGUUGGGAUGCGCCUUCUGUACUGUGAAUUUUACAGGGUCCGCUAAGCCAUCCCUCCAGUACGGUUCCGUGCCCUCUAUGGGGUAUUUGCUUUUUGAUUUUUGUAUCUGGUGCCUGAGUGUAAUGCACCCUUUUGUUGUGGACUAGGGUUGUAUGCGGGGCCGGAUUGUCCCAAAACUUAUUUUCGGUUGUCCGGAAACUCUCCAUCGCACAAUACUUUCAUACUAUGGACGCUAGGUCGGCUAAGCGUGUAAUUUCACGACGGCUGACGGCGUUCAAGAUUCCCUCGUCCGUGCAAUUAUUGCAAAAAAUUGAGAUUGCGUUUUCCUCUCGGCAGUCCUUUAUCCUGUCCAUAACCAGGAGGAAUCUGGCCCAGUAGUGAUGUACUGUCUCAGCGGGCUCUUGCCGGAUUAGAGAUAGAUCGCAUAUGUCUGGGCGGGUGGGUGGAAUUAUGUCCGGAACCCUACCCAUCUCAAGGCUCGAGGGCCGAGAAGUUUCCAAAUUUGGAAGCUUGGAUUGCUGGACGUUGUCCAACGAGUCUGGUCCGAUGCCUGACUUUAAGUUCAGUGCUUGAUCGAAGUCCGUCCCUCCGCGGGAAUCCGGCAUGGGGGGUUCGGGAGCCCGGACAUGACUAGUUUUCAAUACAAGAGAAGAGUCGCCGCAUUGUUCCUCUACCACUGCAACGUGGUGGGUGACCUGGGGGGAGUUAAUCUCUCUCAGAUCGGUCUUAAGCCCAAUCUGAUUGUAGUCUAUAGCGACUCCCAGGGCGGUGAUGCGAUCCAAGAGCUCGUUUACGGACAAGAGCUCUAUUGGAUCCAGACGCUCGGCGAAUUCCGAGCUGACGUGAAGAUUGCUUUUGACGACUUGAGAGGUCAUUGUCGAAGCGGUAGCCGGGCAGGCGGUCAUAAGAAAACCACCUAGCCGGAUAGUUUGGCCGGCGGCCAAGACUCCUUUGGCGAAAAUACCGUCCUUGAAGACGGGAGGAGGCAUCCUUCCUAUCGGUGACGACACAGAGGAACUCUCAAUGAAAGCACUAAUGUCGGUGUCAAAACCGGCGGAUCUCGGGUAGGGGGUCCCGAACUGUGCGUCUAGGCGGAUGGUAACAGGAGACAAGGGACACGAUGUUUUACCCAGGUUCGGGCCCUCUUGAUGGAGGUAAAACCCUACGUCCUGCUUGAUUGAUAUUGAUAUUGUGGAUGUUUACAACAGUGGAUCUACCACGAGAUCAAGGAGGCUAAACCCUAGAAGCUAGCCUAUGGUAUGAUUGUAAUGGUUGUUGUUGUCCUACGGACUAGAGCCAUCCGGUUUAUAUAGACACCGGAGAGGGCUAGGGUUACAUAGAGUCGGUUACAACGGUAGGAGAUCUACGUUUCCGUAUCGCCAAGCUUGCCUUCCACGCCAAGGAAAGUCCCAUCCGGACACGGGACGAAGUCUUCAAUCUUGUAUCUUCAUAGUCUUGGAGUCCGGUCGAUGAUGAUAGUUCGGCCGAUGAUGGUAGUCCGGCUAUCCGGACACCCCCUAAUCCGGGACUCCCUCACCCGCCUUUCCUUUAGCACUGCUUUUCACCCUCAAUCAAGUGGUCAAGUAGAACGUGUCAACCAGAUUCUAGAAGACAUGCUUCGAGCUUCUGUUAUCUCAUUCGGAAUGGAUUGGGAGAAAUGCCUUCCAUUUGCUGAAUUUGCUUAUAACAACAGCUGUCAAUCUAGCUUGGGUAAAGCCCCUUUUGAAGUUCUCUAUGGACGAAGGUGUCGAACACCCCUUAACUGGUCAGUAACCGGGGAAAGACAAUUCUUUGGCCCGGAUAUGAUCCAGGAAGCAGAAGAGCAAGUUCGCAUUGUUCGUGAAAAGUUGAAAACAACCCAAUCUCGUCAAAAGAGUCAAUAUGACCGAAACAUAAGGCUAUGACUUUUGAGGUUGACGAGAAGGCUUACCUUCGGGUUACUCCUCUGAAGGGAACCCAUCGUUUCGGUAUCAAAGGAAAAUUGGCUCCUCGCUACAUUGGACCCUUUCGCAUUCUCGCUAAACGAGGAGAAGUUACCUACCAACUGGAACUACCUCCGCAUCUCUCCAGAGUCCACGAUGUCUUCCACGUUUCUCAACUCAGGCAUUGCUUCUCGGAUCCUAUCCAUGGAGUGGACCACGAAACACUUGAUCUUCAAGAUAACCUCACGUAUCGAGAGUACCCUGUUCGUAUCCUCGAUCAAGCCGAGCGUACCACUCGACGUCAUAAUAUCAAGUUUCUCAAGGUUCAAUGGUCGCACCAUUCUGAGAAGGAAGCAACUUGGGAAAGGGAGGAUCGUCUUUGACUUGAGUACCCCGCCUUCUUUCCGGAGGAACCUAAAUCUCGGGACGAGAUUCUUUUGAGUGGGGGUGAGUUGUCACACCCUAGCUAGUUCAUGCAUUAGAGUGUUGCAUCAUGUCUAUUUUUCUCAACAGAAACUUGAAAUGGGGAUGACAGAACCCCGAGCCCCCUCUGAAACCAACUAGGGUUUACUAAAAAUAUUUUCAAUGAACCUGAAAUGCCCUUCUAAAAUGUCCAUCAUUUUUGCCUUGGUUCAGAACCUCUGCCAAAAGUGGUGCACAAUUUUCUAGGUCAUCCUAAGGUCUUUGAAUUAAAUCAUAAGUAUUUGAGUUUGGGCAUUUAAAUUAUAUAAAUUAUUUUAAAUGCUCAAAUAAUCGCAAACUAAAAUGUUCCAUGCUGGAUAUAUUAAAGUUAAUGGCCAUGAGCAGUUUGGUGAAUUUUGGAGUUGUUUAGGUAUUUUUAGGAAGUCCACAAAGUGACAGAAUAAAUAAAUAAAAAGAUAAAUAAAGAGAGAGAGAGGGAACUAACCUGGCAGCCCAACUAGCCAGCCCAACUAGCCGGCCCAGCCCAGCAGCCGCUCCAGCGAGCUGCUUGCCUUCGCCAGGCAGGCAUGCAGGUGCUCGACGGCGGCACCAGCACGCUCCACGCAGCUGCCCGCCGCCCUGCUUCCUCCCCUCGCCUCUCUGCUGACCGGUAUGAGCUCCACGUCGCGCCCCGAACCCGGUGGACACUUCCAUUUCCCCCCUGCCUCUCUCCCUCGCUCUCCCACACCAUGGCCGACGCCACCGCAGCCGCACCGUCGCCGUAGUCGCGCUCUCCGUCGUCCUUGCGCCGUGCCGUCGUGUCCAGGAGCUCCGCCGCCCUCCUCUUCUUCGAGCUAGCUGAGCCCCGAGCGCUUGCUUGCCCCGAGGCCUCUGCACCGACCUCGCCCGACUCCGCCAUCACCGGAGAUCCCCUUCGCCGUCACCACCGCACCAGCUCGUCCCCGACCGCGCCGUCUGGUUCCUCGAGAUCGCCGUGAGCCUAGCUAUCUCUCCCCCCUUUCCUUUCUCGCUUCCGAGCCCCGUAGCGACUGCAUGUAGCUUACCCGCAUGCGCCGCCGCGGAGCUCGUCGCCGACGUGACUCCGGCCACCCACUGGGCACACCACCAUGUCCAACGCACUCAUCGCACUCGUAGGAACCCAUAGCACCUCACCACGAGCCUCGCCGUGUCCCGUAGCUUCAGGUUCAUCAUCACCCGAACUUCAGCGACCGCCAAGGUCGUCGCCGGCGCCGUUUCCGGCCACCCCGAGCUCAACCAACGCCACCAAGAGCUGCGGCUUGCUCCCAGCUACACGUAGAUGCCCUCCGCGGCUCUUUUGGUCGCCGGAAUGCACAAAACCACUCUCGCCGCCACGUUCGGCCUCGCCAGCGGCUAAACGCCGGCGAGUUGACCCCGCUGACCCCUCGUUUGACCACGGGUGGGCCAGUUUGACCCCCCUGGGUCAAUGACAGGUGCGGCCCAGCCCUGUUAACUAAUCAGGAUUAGUUUUAAUUAAUAUUUAGUUAAACUAAUUACACUGACACACGAGACCCACUAGUCAGGGUUGACCUGGACUGUUCCGUUGACCGCUAACGUCAUCCUGACGUAAUGCUGACGCAGUAAUUUAUUUACUGGAAUUAUUUUUAUACAGGAAAUUCCAGUAAAUACCACAAACUUUAAAAAAUCAUAGAAAUUAAUCUGUAACUCCAAAUGCAAAGUUUUAUAUAUGAAAAAUGAUCAGAAAAAUCCAAUCUAUCCAUCUAUACUGGUUUCAUGCAUGUUUAAGCAAGAUAACCUGAUGUUUAGUGCAGAACAAGAUAAAGCACUUAAAAGGGCCAUUUAUGAGUUUGAAACUUGAAUCUUUGAUUCAAAAUGGUUCAAACCCAUCUUGUCUUAGUUGCAUUAGCCCAAUACACUCAUUUUGCCAUGUCUCAUGGAUGCAUCAUAUUGUUGCAUAUUGUUUGGUGAUGGUUGUGUAUCGGUGCUCUUUGUGGCAGGUUUUGUCUCCGAGGAGUACCACGAUUACCCUAACGAAGAACAAUUUCAGUGCAUCGACCCAUCAGGCAAGCAACCAACCAUUUGAUCAUAUCGAUACAAUCCCAUGUUCUCGCUUCUGCUCUCUUUUAUUGCAUUAAGACAACGCGUUUCAAACUGCUGUGUGCUAGGGUAGUUGAACUCAUUUCCUCUGCAUGACCUGUCAUUGUCACAGUAACUAGAUGAAACCCACUAGCAUGUGUAGGAGUUGAUUGAGCCAUAUGUAUGUGUUGUUCCUACCUUGCUAUGCCUGCUAUGCUUAGAGUCGUGUCAGGUCUAGUUCAUCUGGGUGAUGGGCUAGAGUGAAAUGAUCAUGCCGGUAAUGAGAGUGAUGUGUUGAACACGAUUUGGUAAAGGUAUCGAUGAGAGGCCAUGUAGGAGUACAUGGUGGGUUGUUUCAUUGAAGCCGACCUUAAGCACUGAGAUCUGUAUGUGUGAUUUAAGAUUCAGCUACUACCAUGCAUUGGGCCCUGAAAUAUUAUCCCGCUCGACUUCUUAUUCACCCUAGUCCUCUGUCCAGGAGUUGCAAGUAGUUUCUGGUGUUUGUAUCUUACUGGAGGCCGUGGGCAGCGCUGACCCGCGGGGUGGGCUGUGAUGCGGUAGGUACAUGGCCGGGUAUGCCGGGCACCCGUUAGGUGUCUCGGAACCCUGUACACAUCGUUCGGGGCCGUAUGUGGAAACCUCGGCCGGACUCCCUGCAGAUGGAACCUGAAUAGGCGAUAAACCUGGACUAGAGACUUAGGUGUUUAGGUAGGUCGUGGUCUACACCCACGUCGGCUUUCGCUUGAAGUCUGCCGAGCACAUGUCGUGUGCAGACGCUAAGUGGUGGAAACAUGUAUGAAGAAGUACACCCCUGCAGGGUUAACAUUAUCUAUUCGAAUAGCCGCGUCCGCGGUAAAGGACUACUUGGUUGCCUAUACAGUUCAUAGACAAGUAAAUAGAUACUACUAAAAAUCUCAAGAUAAGCAUGAGUGUCGAGGAUGGCUCUUCCGUAGGAUGACGGAGGUGGAUCCUCGGUGGUGUAUUGAGUUGGUGUGUAGUGGACUCGUGUGCGCAAAACCAUUUCAAGUUGGUGUCUCGUAGGAUAGCUUAGCCAAGAGUCAAAGCUGGCUUGCUACAAUAACCCCACCAACCCUUCUUGAUAAUGUGCAUGUAUGUAGGAUCUGAUGUAAGUCUUGCUGAGUACCUUUGUACUCAUGUUGCUUUAAUUUACAUUUUCAGAAGACGCUGCAACCCCUUCUGAUGGGUUCUUCGUAGACGUUGACAUCGAUGAGUAGACUGAGGCCCAGGUGGUGAUCCUGAGCUUGUGAAGGACCAUGUAGUAUAGCCAGGCUUCCCCAAGCCUCUUUUAUUUUACUAGUUGUCUGUACUCAGACAAGUUACUUCCGCUGUUGGCUUGUAUGUCUAUAUGACUUGAAUGCUGGGUCGUGUGACCCGUACUUGUGUAUAUGAUAUGUAUGGCUCUCUGAGCCUUUAAAUAAAGUACUUGUGUCGUAGAGUCAUGUUGUGAUGCCUUGUUGUAUUUGCACAUAUCGAGCAUAUUGUGUGUAUGAUUGAAAUGCUUGGUAUGUGUGGGAUCUGACUAUCUAGUUGUUUAUCCUUAGUAGCCUCUCUUACCGGGAAAUGUCUCCUAGUGUUUCCACUAAGCCUUGGUAGCUUGCUACUGCUCCGGAACACUUAGGCUGGCCGACAUGUGUCCUUCUUCGUUCCUGUGUCUGUCCCUUCGGGGAAAUGUCACGCGAUGGAUAUCGGAGUCCUGUUAGCCCGCUACAGCCCAGUUUACCGGAGUCCUGCUAGCCCAGUGCUACAGCCCGGAUUCACUCGUUGAUGACCGACACGUUCGAUGCUGGGUCAUGGAUGCCUGUCCCUGUAAGUUUGUGCCACUUUGGGUUCACGACUAGCCAUGUCAGCCCGGGUUCUUUGUCAUAUGGAUGCUAGCGGCACUAUCAUAUACGUGAGCCAAAAGGCGCAAACGGUCCCGGGCCAGGUAAGGUGGCACCCGUGGGAAUACCGUGCGUGAGGCCAGAAAGUGAUAUGAUGUGUUACAUGCUAGAUCGAUGUGGCAUCGAGUCGGGGUCCUAACAUCUCAUGCCUCAAGACCUUUACAUUUCUAACAACCCAGAUAUUCCAGCAAGCAGUAAACACCACCUCCACAAAAAAAACUUUUGUAUAUCCCUCCUGGCUUGCCUAGUUAUAUCAUAUAUAUCAUCCCUGUCAGCCCAGUCAAUCCGCAAGUAAGCCCAAACUCUUGUACUGAAAUUGCUAUCAAAGAACAAGUGAUUCCCGUGUUCUCUGUGUAGUUUGGUGCAACUCCCGAUAUAUUCAUCGGGUGCAUAUGCACGUAUACAUAAGUACAAGGGACGGCCACAUCCUCAACUAUACAUGGAAGGAGGAGGGCUUGAUAUACAAGAAAUAUACAUGCAAAUAUUACAUACUCAACACCCCCUCCCCCGCAGUUGAUGCGCCAGCAACACAGAGACUGGACCGAAACUCCUCGAAUGUAGGAGUGGGCAGUACCUUAGUCAUCACAUCAGCAAAUUGUUGUGCGGUGGGAACAUGACCGAGGGGGACCUGCUCACGCCCAAAUUGAAUAUCAAGCUCAAUCUGUUUCGUCCGGCGAUGAUGUAUAGGGUUAGCGGAGAGGUAGACUACGGAGACGUUGUCACAGUACACCAUCAUGGCCUUGGACACAUCAUGAUGCAACUCAUGAAGGAGUUGAUGGAGCGAGGAGCACUUGGCGACAACGUUGUCCACAACACAGUAUUCUCCCUCAGCACUCGAAUGAGACACCAUUCGCUUGGAUGACCACGAGAUGAGAGACAACCCAAUAUAUACAAAGUAACCCGAGGUGGAUCGACAUGUGUUAGGGCAGCCAACCCAAUUGGCAUCGGGGUAGGCGAUCAUGACGGUUGAGGUGGAGGACAUUAGCGUGAGACCAAGAGCCAUGAUGCCACGAAUGUACCGAAGAAUGCGCUUCACCAAGGUCCAAUGAGAGUCCCAUGAAGAGUACAUAUGAAGGCACACCUGCUGAACCGCGUACUGCAAAUCAGUACUGCAAAGCACCAACGAUUGAUUGGUAGAAGGCAACAUCGGGGGCGGGUGAGCCGUCGAGAUCGGAAACCUUUGCCUUCGUCUCAACAUGCAUAGAUGUUGGCUUGCAGUUAAGCAUGCCGGCGCGAUCGAGCAGCUCGUGGGUGUACUUUUGUUUAUGAAGAAAGAACCCAUCAGCACGCCAGACCACCUCAAUCCCGAGGAAGUAAUGGAAGGGGCCCAAAUGCUUGAUGGCGAACUCGUCACGGAGAUGAGCGGUGAGCUGAUGAAGAAGCUCAACCGACGAGGCCGUCAAGAUAAUGUCGUCGUCGUAGAGAAGCAGGUAAGCAGUCACAGAGCCGUGAUGAUGAACGGGCAGAGAGGCAUCAGAACAUAUAGCUUGGAACCCAAUCUGCUGUAAGAAGGCGGCAAUACGCUGGUACCACGCACGUGGCGCUUGCUUAAGCCCAUAAAGAGAGCCUGAGAGAAAGAGCACAUGAUCAGGGCAAGUGGUGUUGGGGAACGUUGCAGAAAAUAAAAAAUUUCUAUGCUUCACCAAGAUCAAUCUAUGGAGUUCAUCUAGCAACAAGAGAGAGAGGAGUGCAUCUACAUACCCUUGUAGAUUGCGAGCGGAAGCGUUCAAGAGAACAGGGUUGAGGGAGUCGUACUCGUGAUGAUCCAAAUCACCGAUGAUCCUAGUGCUGAACGGACAUCACCUCCGCGUUCAACACACGUACGGUCGGGGAAGACAUCUCCUCCAUCUUGAUCCAGCAAGGGGGAAGCAGAGGUUGAUGGAGAUCCAGCAGCACGACGGCGUGGUGGUGGAAGCAGCGGCGAUAUCGGCAGGGCUUCGCCAAGCUCAGCGAGAGGGAGAGGUGGUACGGGGAAGACGGAGGCGCCAGGGACUAGGGUGCGGCUACCCUCCCUCCCCCCUCUUUAUAUAGGGGGCCUAGGGAGUGCGCCGGCCUGGAGAUCCCAUCUCCAAGGGGGGGCGGCGGCCUAGGAGGGGGACUUGCCCCCCAAGUCAAGUGGGGCGCCCCCCACCCCUAGGGUUUCCAACCCUAGGCGCAGGGGAGGCCCAAGGGGGGGGGCGCACCAGCCCACCAGGGGCUGGUUCCCUUCCCCUUUCAGCCCACGUGGCCCUUCGGGAUAGGUGGCCCCACCCGGUGGACCCCCGGGACCCUUCCGGUGGUCCCGGUACAAUACCUGUGACCCCCGAAACUUUCCCGAUGGCCGAAACUGGACUUCCUAUAUAGAAUUCUUUACCUCCGGACCAUUCCGUAACUCCUCAUGACGUCCGGGAUCUCAUCCGGGACUCCUAACAACUUUCGGGUUUGCGCAUACUAAUAUCUCUACAACCCUAGUGUCACCGAACCUUAAGUGUGUAGACCCUAUGGGUUCGGGAAUCACGCAGACAUGACCGAGACAACUCUCCGGCCAAUAACCAACAGCGGGAUCUGGAUACCCAUGUUGGCUCCCACAUGUUCCACGAUGAUCUCAUCGGAUGAACCACAAUGUCGAGGAUUCGAGUAACCCUGUAUACAAUUCCCUUUGUCAAUCGGUACGUUACUUGCCCGAGUUUCGAUCGUCGGUAUCCCAAUACCUCGUUCAAUCUUGUUACCGGCAAGUCACUUUACUCGUACCGUAAUGCAUGACCCCGUGACCAAACACUUGGUCACUUUGAGCUCAUUAUGAUGAUGCAUUACCGAGUGGGCCCAGAGAUACCUCUCCGUCAUACGGAGUGACAAAUCUCAGUCUCGAUCUGUGUCAACCCAACAGAUACUUUCGGGGAUACCCGUAGUAUACCUUUAUAGUCACCCAGUUAUGUUGUGACGUUUGGUACACCCAAAGCACUCCUACGGUAUCUAGGAGUUACACAAUCUCAUAGUCUAAGGAAAAGAUACUUGACAUUGGAAAAGCUCUAGCAAACGAACUACACGAUCUUGUGCUAUGCUUAGGAUUGGGUCUUGUCCAUCACAUCAUUCUCCCAAUGAUGUGAUCCCGUUAUCAAUGACAUCCAAUGUCCAUAGUCAGGAAACCAUGACUAUUUAUUGAUCAACGAGCUAGUUAACUAGUGGCUUACUAGGGACAUGUUGUGGUCUAUGUAUUCACACAUGUAUUACGAUUUCCGGAUAACACAAUUAUAGCAUGAAUAAUAGACAAUUAUCAUGAACAAGGAAAUAUAAUAAUAAUCAUUUUAUUAUUGCCUCUAGGGCAUAUUUCCAACAGUCUCCCACUUGCACUAGAGUCAAUAAUCUAGUUACAUUGUGAUGAAUCGAACACCCAUAGAGUUCUGGUGUUGAUCAUGUUUUGCUCGCGGAAGAGGUUUUGUCAACGGAUCUGCGACAUUAAGAUCCUUAUGCACUUUGCAAAUAUCUAUGUCUCCAUCUUGAACAUUUUCACGAAUGGAGUUGAAGCGACGCUUGAUGUGCGUGGUCUUCUUAUGAAACCUGGGCUCCUUGGCAAGGGCAAUAGCUCCAAUGUUGUCACAGAAGAGAGUGAUCGGCCCCGAUGCAUUGGGUAUGACUCCUAGGUCGGUGAUGAACUCCUUCAUCCAUAUUGCUUCAUGCGCUGCCUCCGAGGCUGCCAUGUACUCUGCUUCACAUGUAGAUCCCGCCACGACGCUCUGCUUGCAACUACACCAGCUUACUGCCCCACCAUUCAAAAUAUACAUGUAUCCGGUUUGUGACUUAGAGUCAUCCAGAUCUGUGUCGAAGCUAGCGUCAUCGUAACCCUUUACGACGAGCUCUUCAUCACCUCCAUAAACGAGAAACAUGUCCUUAGUACUUUUCAGGUACUUCAGGAUAUUCUUGACCGUUGUCCAGUGUUCCAUGCCAGGAUUACUUUGGUACCUUCCUACCAAACUUACGACAAGGUUUACAUCAGGUCUUGUACACAGCAUGGCAUACAUAAUAGACCCUAUGGCCGAGGCAUAGGGGAUGACACUCAUCUUUUCUCUAUCUUCUGCCGUGGUCGGGCAUUGAGCCAAGCUCAAUUUCACACCUUGAAACACAGGCAAGAACCCCUUCUUGGGCUGAUCCAUAUUGAACUUCUUCAAUAUCUUAUCAAGGUAUGUGCUUUGUGAAAGACCUAUGAGGCAUUUUGACCUAUCCCUAUAGAUCUUGAUGCCUAAUAUGUAAGCAGCUUCUCCAAGGUCCUUCAUUGAAAAACACUUAUUCAAGUAGGCCUUAAUGCUGUCCAAAAGUUCUAUAUGAUUUCCCACCAAAAGUAUGUCAUCUACAUAUAAUAUGAGAAAUGCUAUAGAGCUCCCACUCACUUUCUUGUGAACGCAGGCUUCUCCAUAAGUCCGCAUAAACCCAAACGCUUUGAUCAUCUCAUCAAAGCGAAUGUUCCAACUCCGAGAUGCUUGCACCAGCCCAUAAAUGGAUCGCUGGAGUUUGCAUACCUUGUUAGCAUUCUCUGGAUCGACAAAACCUUCCGGCUGCAUCAUAUACAGUUCUUCCUUAAGAUAGCCGUUAAGGAAUGCCGUUUUGACGUCCAUCUGCCAUAUCUCAUAAUCAUAGUAUGCGGCAAUUGCUAACAUGAUUCGGACGGACUUCAGCUUUGCUACGGGAGAGAAAGUCUCAUCGUAGUCAACCCCUUGAACUUGCCGAUAACCCUUAGCGACAAGUCGAGCUUUAUAGAUGGUAACAUUACCAUCCGCGUCCGUCUUCUUCUUAAAGAUCCAUUUGUUUUCUAUCGCUCGCCAAUCAUCGGGCAAGUCUGUCAAAGUCCAUACUUUGUUUUCAUACAUGGAUCCUAUCUCGAAUUGCAUGGCUUCAAGCCAUUUGUUGGAAUCUGGGCCCGCCAUCACUUCUUCAUAGUUCGAAGGUUCACCGUUGUCUAACAACAUGAUUUCUAGGACAGGGUUGCCAUACCACUCUGGUGUGGAACGUGUCCUUGUGGACCUACGAAGUUCAGUAGCAACUUGAUCCGAAGUACCUUGAUCAUCAUCAUUAAUUUCCUCUCCAGUCGGUGUAGGCACCACAAGAACAUCUUCCUGAGCUGUACUACUUUCUGGUUCAAGAGGUAGUACUUCAUCGAGUUCUACUUUCCUCCCACUUACUUCUUUCGAGAGAAACUCUUUCUCCAGAAAGGACCCGUUCUUGGCAAUAAAGAUCUUGCCUUCAGAUCUAAGGUAGAAGGUAUACCCAAUGGUUUCCUUAGGGUAUCCUAUGAAGACGCAUUUUUCCGACUUGGGUUCGAGCUUUUCAGGUUGAAGUUUCUUGACAUAAGCAUCGCAUCCCCAAACUUUUAGAAACGAUAGCUUAGGUUUCUUCCCAAACCAUAAUUCAUACGGUGUCGUCUCAACGGAUUUAGAUGGUGCCCUAUUUAAAGUGAAUGUGGCUGUCUCUAAAGCGUAUCCCCAAAAUGAUAGCGGUAAAUCGGUAAGAGACAUCAUAGACCGCACCAUAUCCAAUAAAGUGCGAUUACGAUGUUCGGACACACCGUUACGCUGAGGUGUUCCAGGCGGCGUGAGUUGUGAAACAAUUCCACAUUUCCUUAAGUGCGUACCAAAUUCGUGACUUAAAUAUUCUUCUCCACGAUCUGAUCGCAAAAACUUUAUUUUUCGGUCACGUUGAUUCUCUACCUCAUUAUGAAAUUCCUUGAACUUUUCAAAGGUCUCAGACUUGUGUUUCAUUAAGUAAACAUACCCAUAUCUACUUAAGUCAUCAGUGAGGGUGAGAACAUAACGAUAGCCACCGCGAGCCUCAACGCUCAUUGGACCGCACACAUCAGUAUGUAUAAUUUCCAAUAAGUUGGUUGCUCGCUCUAUUAUCCCGGAGAACGGAGUCUUGGUCAUUUUACCCAUGAGGCAUGGUUCACACGUGUCAAAUGAUUCGAAAUCAAGGGACUCCAAAAGUCCAUCUGUAUGGAGCUUCUUCAUGCGUUUGACACCAAUAUGACAAAGGCGGCAGUGCCACAGAUAUGUGGGACUAUCAUUAUCAAUCUUACAUCUUUUGGUAUUCACACUAUGAAUAUGUGUAACAUUACGUUCGAGAUUCAUUAAGAAUAAACCAUUGAUCAGCAGGGCAUGACCAUAAAACAUAUCUCUCAUAUAAAUAGAACAACCAUUAUUCUAGGAUUUAAAUGAGUAGCCAUCUCGUAUUAAACGAGAUCUAGGUACAAUGUUCCUGCUCAAAGAUGGCACUAAAUAACAAUUAUUGAGGUUUAAAACUAAUCCCGUAGGUAAAUGUAGAGGUAGCGUGUCGACGGCGAUCACAUCGACCUUGGAACCAUUCCCGACGCGCAUCGUCACCUCGUCCUUCACCAGUCUCUGCUUAUUCCGCAUCUCCUGUUUUGAGUUACAAAUAUGAGCAACCACACCGGUAUCAAAUACCCAGGAGCUACUACGAGUACUGGUAAGGUACACAUCAAUUACAUGUAUAUCACAUAUACCUUUAGUGUUGCCGGCCUUCUUGUCCGCUAAGUAUUUGGGGCAGUUCCGCUUCCAGUGACCCUUCCCUUUGCAAUAAAAGCACUCAGUGUCAGGCUUGGGUCCAUUCUUUGGCUUCUUCCCGGCAACUGGUUUACCAGGCGCGACAACUUCCUUGCCGUCCUUCUUGAAGUUCUUCUUACCCUUGCCCUUCUUGAACUUAGUGGUUUUAUUGACCAUCAACACUUGAUGUUCCUUUUUGAUUUCCACCUCUGCUGAUUUCAGCAUUGAAAAUACUUCAGGAAUAGUUUUCACCAUGCCCUGCAUAUUGUAGUUCAUCACAAAGCUCUUGUAGCUAGGUGGGAGCGACUGAAGGAUUCUGUCAAUGACCGCCUCGUCCGGGAGGUUAAUGUCUAGUUGGGACAAGCGGUUGUGCAACCCAGACAUUUUGAGUAUGUGCUCAUUGACAGAACUAUUUUCCUCCAUCUUACAACUGUAGAACUUGUCGGAGACUUCAUAUCUCUCGACCCGGGCAUGAUCUUGAAAAACCAUUUUCAGCUCUUCGAACAUCUCAUAUGCUCCGCGUUGCUCAAAACGCUUUUGGAGCCCCGGUUCUAAGCUGUAAAGCACGCCGCACUGAACGAGGGAGUAAUCAUCAGCACGUGACUGCCAAUCGUUCAUAAUGUCUUGGUUCUCUGGGAUGGGUGCUUCACCUAGCGGUGCUUCUAGGACAUAUGCUUUCUUGGCAGCUAUGAGGAUGAUCCUCAGGUUCCGGACCCAGUCCGUAUAGUUGAUGCCAUCAUCUUUCAGCUUUGUUUUCUCUAGGAACACGUUGAAGUUGAGGUUGACAUGAGCGUUGGCCAUUUGAUCUACAAGACAUUUUGCAAAGGUUUUUAGACUAAGUUCAUGAUAAUUAAGUUCAUCUAAUCAAAUUAUUUAAUGAACUCCCACUUAGAUUAGACAUCCCUCUAGUCGUCUAAGUGAUACAUGAUCCGAGUCAACUAGGUCGUGUCCGAUCAUCACGUGAGACGGACUAGUCAUCAUCGGUGAACAUCUCCAUGUUGAUCGUAUCUUCCAUACGACUCAUGUUCGACCAUUCGGUCUCUUGUGUUCCGAGGCCAUGCCUGUACAUGCUAGGCUCGUCAAGUUAACCUAAGUGUUUUGCAUGUGUGAAUCUGUCUUACACCCGUUGUAUGUGGACGUUAGAAUCUAUCACACCCGAUCAUCACGUGGUGCUUCGAAACAACGAACUUUUGCAAUGGCGCACAUUUAGGGGGAACACUUUCUUGAAAUAAUUAUGAGGGCUCAUCUUAUUUACUACCGUCGUUCUAAGCAAAUAAGAUGCAAAAACAUGAUAAACAUCACAUGCAAUCAAAUAGUGACAUGAUAUGGCCCAUAUCAUAUAGCUCCUUUGAUCUCCAUCUUCGGGGCGCCAUGAUCAUCUUCGUCACCGGCAUGACACCAUGAUCUCCAUCAUCAUGAUCUCCAUCAUCAUGUCUCCAUGAAGCUGCUUGCCAACUAUUACUUCUACUACUAUGGCUAACGGUUUAGCCAUAAAGUAAAGUAAUUACAUGGCGUUUAAUCAUUGACACACAGGUCAUACAAUAAUUAAGACAACUCCUAUGGCUCCUGCCGGUUGUCAUACUCAUCGACAUGCAAGUCAUGAUUCCUAUUACAAGAACAUGAUCUCAUACAUCACAUAUAUAUAUCAUUCAUCACAACCUUUUGGCCAUAUCACAUCACAAGGCAUAUGCUGCAAAAACAAGUUAGAUGUCCUCUAAUUGUUGUUGCAUGUUUUACGUGGCUGCAAUAGUGUUCUAGCAAGAACGUUUCUUACCUACGUGAAAGCCACAACGUGAUAUGCCAAUUUCUAUUUACCCUUCAUAAGGACCCUUUUCAUCAAAUCCGAUCCGACUAAAGUGGGAGAGACAGACACCCGCUAGCCACCUUAUGCAACUAGUGCACGUCAGUCAGUGGAACCAGUCUCACGUAAGCGUACGUGUAAGGUCGGUCCGGGCCGCUUCAUCCCACGAUGCCGCCGAAACAAGAUAAGACUAGUAGUGGCAAGAAAAUUGACAACAUCUACGCCCACAACAAAUUUGUGUUCUACCCGUGCAUAGAAAUUACGCAUAGACCUGGCUCAUGAUGCCACUAUUGGGGAACGUUGCAGAAAAUAAAUUUUUUCUACACUUCAACAAGAUCAAUAUAUGGAGUUCAUCUAGCAACAAGAGAGAGGAGGGCAUCUACAUACCCUUGUAGAUCGCAAGCGGAAGCGUUCAAUAGAACGGGGUUGAGGGAGUCGUACUCGUCGUGAUCCAAAUCACCGAUGAUCCUAGUGCUGAACGGACAGCACCUCCGCGUUCAACACACGUACGGUUGGGGAAGACGUCUCCUCCUUCUUGAUCCAGCAAGGGGGAAGGAGAGGUUGAUGGAGAUCCAGCAACACGACGGUGUGGUGGUGGAAGCAGCGGCGAUAUCGGUAGGGCUUCGCCAAGCUCAGCGAGAGGAAGAGGUGGUACGGGGAAGAGGGAGGCGCCAGGGACUAGGGUGCGGCUGCCCUCCCUCCCCCCUAUUUAUAUAGGGGGCCUAGGGGGUGCACCGGCCCUGGAGAUCCCAUCUCCAAGGGGGAGCGGCGGCCUAGGGGGGGGACUUGCCCCCCAAGUCAAGUGGGGAGCCCCCACCCCUAGGGUUUCCAACCCUAGGCUUAGGGGAGGCCCAAGGAGGGGCGCACCAGCCCACCAGGGGCUGGUUCCCUUCCCCUUUCAGCCCACGUGGCCCUCCGGGAUAGGUGGCCCCACCCGAUGGACCCCCGGGACCCUUCCAGUGGUCCCGGUACAAUACUAGUGACCCCCGAAACUUUCCCGGUGGCCGAAACUGGACUUCCUAUAUAGAAUUCUUUACCUUCGAACCAUUCCGAAAGUCCUCGUGACGUUCAGGAUCUCAUCCGGGACUCCAAACAACUUUUUGGUUUGCGCAUACUAAUAUCUCUACAACCCUAGCAUCACCCAACCUUAAGUGUGUAGACCCUAUGGGUUCGGGAAUCACACGGACAUGACCGAGACAGCUCUCCGACCAAUAACCAACAGCGGGAUCUGGAUACCCAUGUUGGCUCCCACAUAUUCCACGACGAUCUCAUUGGAUGAACCACAAUGUUGAGGAUUCGAGUAACCCCGUAUACAAUUCCCUUUGUCAAUUGGUACGUUACUUGCCCGAGAUUCGAUCAUCGGUAUCCCAAUACCUCGUUCAAUCUCGUUACCGGCAAGUCACUUUACUCGUACCGUAAUGCAUGAUCCCGUGACCAAACACGUGGUCACUUUGAGCUCAUUAUGAUGAUGCAUUACCGAGUGGGCCCAGAGAUACCUCUCCAUCAUACGGAGUGGCAAAUACCAGUCUCGAUCCGUGUCAACCCAACAGAUACUUUCGGGGAUACCCGUAGUAUACCUUUAUAGUCACCCAGUUACGUUGUGACGUUUGGUACACCCAAAGCACUCCUACGGUAUCCGGGAGUUACACGAUCUCAUGGUCUAAGGAAAAGAUACUUGACAUUGGAAAAGCUCUAGCAAACGAACUACACGAUCUUGUGCUAUGCUUAGGAUUGGGUCUUGUCCAUCACAUCAUUCUCCCAAUGAUGUGAUCCCGUUAUCAAUGACAUCCAAUGUCCAUAGUCAGGAAACCAUGACUAUCUAUUGAUCAACGAGCUAGUCAACUAGAGGCUUACUAGGGACAUGUUGUGGUCUAUGUAUUCACACAUGUAUUACGAUUUCCGGAUAACACAAUUAUAGCAUGAAUAAUAGACAAUUAUCAUGAACAAGGAAAUAUAAUAAUAAUCAUUUUAUUGUUGCCUCUAGGGCAUAUAUCCAACAGUUGGCAUCGAUGAAGCCGUGGGAUGCUCGCAGAAGACCUGAUCGGCAAGAUGUCCAUGAAGAAAGGCAUUGGAGACGUCCAUCUAAUGCACAGACCAGGCACGGGAGAUCGCAAGCUGCAAGACAGUGCGAAUUGUGCCCGACUUGACCACCGAAGCGAACGUGUCAGUGAAGUCAACUCCUGCGCGUUGUCGAAAACCGUGGACCACCUAACAAGUUUUGUAACGCUUGAGAGAACUGUUAGGGCGAGUCUUGUGCCGAAAGACCCACUUCCCACUAAUGAUGUUAGCAUGUCGCGGCUGGGGAACAAGCUGCCAAGUGCAAUUGCAUUGUAAGGCAUCAAACUCCUCCUCCAUUGCUAUGAGCCAAUGAGGGUUGCGAAGAGCAACCUACACCAACGUUGGAAUGGGUGACGGAGAGGACGUCGAGGCGGCGCAUGCGUAUUGGUCCGACAGAUACCUCUGGCUGGGGCAUAACACGUCAGUGCAACCUCGAGUCGUCACCUUGUGUGGUGGCGAGGGUAUGGGCGGCGAGUCAUCAUAAGGGGUCGGCGAGACCGGGGAGGCCAGCAAGGACGGCGAGCCGAGGCCAAUGAGACCAAUGAGGCCGACAACGUGGCAACGGGCGAGGCUGUUGAGGUCAAGCCCGUCACUGAGGAGAGCCCCGCAGCUGGCGAGACCGGCGAGGCCGACGGAGCGGCGACGGAAGGUCUAGCCCGUCGCUGAAGAGAGCCCCGUAGCCGAUGAGGCCGACAUGGUCGGUGUAGAGGGCGCUACUACGUCUAGCACCGAGGCUGCCGUGGCAGCUGAGUCUACAACACUGCUGGGUGCUGAGGAGCCAAGUGGUGGUGCAGGGGCGACCCGCAAGCGCCAUCCAUGGGGACGACGAGGCGCCUCCAAAGGAGCCAACCAUGGGUCGUCGAAAGUAGGCGAUGAUGGGGCGAUGGCCGGAGUAACCUGGUGCAAAGGAAAUACUUUUUCGUCAAAGUACACGUGCCUCGAGGUGAUCACACGGUGGGAAAUAGGAUCAUAGCACCGGUAGCCUUUGGUAUUGGAUGGGUAACCGAUAAAGAUGCGAGUGACGUAGCGUGGAGCUAGUUUAUGAGGAGUGGUGGAUGCAAUACUAGGAUAGCAUAGACACCCGAAGACGCGUAUCUCGUCAUAGGAAGGUGGAGUACCAAAAAACAACUGAUGCUGUGCAUAGUUCCAGCGAGGACGACAUGGACGGAUAUUAAGAAGGGAUGCCGUGGCAAGAGCAUCCGGCCAAAAUCGUGGAGGCACGUUAGCAUGAAAAAGAAGUGCGCGAACACAGUCAUUAAGAGUGCGAAGCACACGUUCAACACAACCAUUUUGUUGCGAAGUAUACAUGCAAGUGAGACGAAAGAUAGUACCAUGCAUGGUGAGUAAGGUACGGACGACGAGAUUAUCGAACUCUUUUCCAUUAUCAGUUUGGAAUGCAUGUAUGGGACGACAAAAUUGCGUAGUGACAUAGGAGUAAAAAGCCGUGAGAGUAGAGAGAACAUCAUAUUUUUGUCGUAAAGGAAAUGUCCACACACAGUGAGAAAAAUCAUAUAAAAUGAUAAGAUAAUAAAAAUAGCCCUAAUUACUUGCAACAGGAGAUGUCCAGACAUCGGUAUGAAUUAACUCAAAGGGAUAUGAUGCAAUGAUGGAUGACGCACUAAACGAAAGACAGACAUGUUUGCCUAAACCACAAGCAUCGCAAGUGUGAUUGUAGAUCUUAUCACAUGAAAAACUGAAAGUAUGAAGAAUAUGACAAAGCGUAGCAGAAUUGGGAUGACCCAAGUGAGCAUGCCAAAGAUCCACACCGGCGGAGAGAGCAACUGGAGCGGUGGCGGUAGGUAAAGAUGGGUGGACCGGGUAGAGCUCGUCGGGUUGUCACAUCGGUGAAGCACCAUACGUGUACGGGUGUACUUAACAGAAAAAGCUCAUCAAAUUCAAUAGUUAUAGGGUUUUUAUGAGUAAAAGAUCGAAUAGAAACUAGAUUCUUAAUGAGUGCAGGCAAGACAAGUAUUGAUGUGGCCAUGGCUACCUCGCAUACGACCAAAAAGUCCACACACAUAUAUUUUAAAGGUGAAUUCUAGUAUUAAUUAUAAAAUGAAUUAUUUUGUUAUUGAAGACAAAAUUACUACAUCUCUAUUUCUUUCAUGCAGAAUUGUUGAAGAUUUAUACAAAUUACGUGUCAAGAUAUGAUUGCUUAAGUAUAUGUACACAUACAUGCUUGUGUGUAAACCCAUUCAUAUGCUAUGGAUGAGUUGGUGCAGCCAUGCAUGCCCCAUGAGGUUGCUCAAGCAAGGCGAUAGCCCUUUGUAUCAAUGUCGAUGUAGCCGAGAGUGUAGGGUGAUGUAGCCGUGGUCGAGGUAGCCGUGCAAGGGAUGCCAUCGUCGAUGUCGAGUCGGGGCAGCCGGUGUCGAGGAUGUCACUAUGGAGCCACAGGCGCAAGGAUGCGCUGAGUUAGUCAUGGAUGCAGUGGUGUCGAAGUAGUGUGCGUCGGGUAGAGGACGGUGUUGACGAGGCGUUGCGCUGGGUUUGCCAAACCCGGGGACAGGUCGUAGACGAAGGCACGCGUCGGUGUUGCCGGCACUGGGCAUGCGUAGACGGACGAAGAUGAAGUUGACGAAGCGCCACACUAGGUUUGGCAGGCCCAGGGACACAUCAUCGAAGAAGGCACACAUCGGUGUUGCCAGCACCGGGCAUGCGUAGACUGAGACCUGCAGGAGCUGUACGCCAUGUCGGAGGAGUCGGAGAGGCCAGCAGAGAAGAACUCGACGAUGGUUGCGGCGCCAAUCAGCGGGGGGCUGAUGUCGCCAAUGGUGGUCGGAGUAGAUGAAGUGGUCGGGGUAGAUGAUGGCGAUGCUGGCGACGGGCUGGUGCUGGAUGAAGAUGAAGGGGGUGGACAGGUGGCGGCGGCUGUGAGGGUAGCUGCGGCGGCGAUCGAAGAAGAGCGGUGGCGGCGGCUUGACGGUGGCGUCUGUCGUGGUCCUAAGACUGNNNNNNNNNNNNNNNNNNNNNNNNNNNNNNNNNNNNNNNNNNNNNNNNNNNNNNNNNNNNNNNNNNNNNNNNNNNNNNNNNNNNNNNNNNNNNNNNNNNNNNNNNNNNNNNNNNNNNNNNNNNNNNNNNNNNNNNNNNNNNNNNNNNNNNNNNNNNNNNNNNNNNNNNNNNNNNNNNNNAGUAGAAAGGGGGGGGGGGUUGGUAUGGAGAGGCAAGAUCUUAGCUAUGGUGAAGGUGUACACACGAGGUCUACAAGUUCAGGCCCUUCUCAGAGGAAGUAACAGCCCUACGUCUCGGUGCCCGAAGGCGGUCGAUUGGAUUAUGUGUCUUGUAUUACAGGGGGUGCGAACCCUUGUCUCAGAGGAGGGGGGUGGCUUAUAUAGAGUGCGCCAGGACCCCCACUGCCCUCCAUUACAAGGGGCUUAAUGUACAUAAAGUAAGGGGCGUUACUGGUAACGCCCGCCUUAAGUACUCUUAAUGCUCAUAAAGACUAAGGAGCGAACGUCCGGCCGUUGUGUGCUCUUCCGACUCCUGGUCUUCUAUAUAGUCGAGUGACUCCCCAUAUAGUCGAGUGAUAGUAGGGGAGGACCGUCAAGUGAUGUGGUCGUCGGGUGGAUUGCACUCGACGCACUCGACCGACGCUCUCCUGUUGACUGUUGGUCUUUUUACCUUCCAGGGUAGUGACCUUGGGUAGGACGUAUAGGUCAGGCCUAUGACCCUACCCCAGGUCUGUAUCCUCGUCAGUAGCCCCCGAAUGGAUUAUGGCGCGAGUGGAAAGUUGGUUGAAGUUGAACCUGCUCCGAGCAUCAUGCCUUCGCGAGUGUUUUCCGCAAGUCUGAACGCCUGCGUCGGUACUUCGAUGUCAACUCAGUCGCCUUGAUCCAUUUAGUGAGCUGUCGAAUGAACUGGUGACCUCAUGCGUCGAGUGCUGUGUCGGAGAGUGGGAUCUUGGGCGUGAUUGUCUGCAGAGUAUCCCAAAUUUCACGGGAUACGAAAUUUCGGGGAAGCGCGCGGGACGGGGAGUGCCAAAGCGGGCAGAGCGGAUAAACAGUGAUGCCUCGAUUUCCACGCCGCCUUUUUCGCCAUGUACGCUGCGUGCGACUAUUGCGGGAUUUGACAGGAUCGCCUGGUCCCACGUGUCAGUCACUCGGAAGCGACCCUUUUUAAGGUGACGGGACUGAGGCGUCCGCACUGUGCACGCCGUUUCCUCCUUCUCCCUUCUCCGCUCCUCCGUCGCACCCCGCUCUUCUGUUCCCACACCGCCGCUCUGUCGCCAUGGUGAAGGACAAGACGGCGGUGCUAGAACGUGCGAAGAAGACGAAGGGGGUGGCGAAGGGCAAGAAGCAGCAACGCGGAUCAUCGUCGCACGCGGGGCUGCUGCCGGGCUGGAUUCAGGGCGAUUGGAUCCAGUCUUCGAUUCGGCAGGCAGAUCUGGACGAGCUGGCGGAGUCUGGGCUAAUCGCAAAGGGAGCGGCAAGGCUGUCGGAGGGAGAGAUGAGUCCCCAGCCUCGACCGGGUGAGUGUGUUCUGCUCGCCACCCACGUCGACCGCGGUUUUUCGCUUCCUCCGCAUCGUUUCUUCCGGGGGUUCUUGAACUUUGUCGGUGCCCAGCUCCACCAUUUCUCUCCCAACACCAUCACAUACUUAGCUGCGUUUGUAUCGAUGUGCAAGAACUUCUUAGGGUGUCGAACGCACUGGGGUCUUUUGAAACAUAUCUUCACCAUUCGUUCCCAGUCGGUAAAAUAAGGCGAAGUCGAGUGACUCGAAAACCCAUGUCAUCCAGAUGUGUGGGGGUUUAGGUAUCCAAAAGAGGAAUAGGAGUGCCUUUCCCGCCAUGACUCUCCCUAACUCCGUUAGAGGCUGGCAGUCGACCUGGUUCUACUGCCAGGACAUCGCAACUCCAAGUCAGUCGACCGGUCUUCCCCAUUUCUCGUUUGACCGCGUCCAGACCCCUGCUCCACUGAAAGCAACCGCUGCUGAGACGAUGGAGACGAGGAUGUUGGUGGAUAGAGUGGUCCAGCUCAUCAAUGAUGGCGUUACUGGCCUGGACUUGCUGGAAGUGUUCCUCAGUCCACGCAUCCAGCCUCUUUAGGCCCGCGAUCACCCGAUGUGGUUGUAUUCCGGUCCGGACGACACCGCUCGGGUCCAUCCAGAAGAAGUGCCAUCCGGAACCGUAGCGUUGUGGCUAAGGAGCAUUACAGGCAACCAGGAAAACCCUAGAGGAUCCAGGCGAGUCGUCCCCUUCAGCGACAGAUACCCGCCUGACAAGGUAUACUUUUUGUUCUGACUGCUUUCCGCUCAUGUUCCGAUUGUACUUGAUGUUGACUGACUCUGACUCAACCGAUUUGUUCUGUAGGUAUUUACUGAGAUGCAUUCGAUGCCCAACGGUGAACAAGCUUUGGAGCAGGACCAGGAGGGAGGGGACAGUGCGGAGGAGAGUGGUGAGUGGGAGUCUCCGGGAGAAGAGGAGGAGGAGGAGCGCGAGGAGUCGGACGAGGAGGAAGAAGUCGACUCGCCGCCGCGCUCCAAGCGCCGGUCCAAACAGUAGCAUGAUCCGUCCGGCGGGCGCGGGAAAAGCGUGGUCCUGAGUGCCAGUACUCAGAAGUGCACUCGGACGUCGACCCCGGAGCCGACGGAGAAGGUGGCCAAGCAGCCUAAAGUUGCUCCUCCCAAGGCUCGUAAGACAUUGCCACAGAUUAAGAUGGACGUCCCUAUUGCUUCGGGGUGAGUAUCUCGCUUGCGAUUUCGUAGGUCGACUGAAAAUUUUCUUGUUCUGACUGACCCAUUCAUGUGCCUUUCCAAUCCCACCUUUGCUGCCACUGACAUGGACAUUGAUAAGGCGCCAGGAUACGAAGAGGCUACCUCACGAGUCGGUAAGUCUGACCGAGCAAGCUUCGUUAAGUUGAGUAAAUCAUCAAUCGGCUAAAUUUCUGACAUUUCUCUCUUUUUGUAGUUCUGCAAGAAGUUGUUGUGCUUCCUGACGAUGAAGAAGAAGCGCCUCUACAGGAGAGGAAGAGGAGGAGUGGGAGCGCUGGUAGGAGGAGGCUUGAGGUUCAGGUUCCUCAGUCGACGCCAACGCUCGAGGCAGUGGUCGAUCGUUCCGGAGAGCCUGUUCGGACCAGCGUCACGUUUGCCAGCCCGCUGAUGACUGAUCGUCCGGCAGGCUCGACUGCACCAACUCCUGCUGCUCCAGUGCAACUCCACGCCUCUGACCCAACGACUACUUUGGCUGCUCUGCAGCCAUCACUUUUAGCUCUGUAUUAGACUUCAGACGAUUCACGGAGUGCCGCUAGGGAAGCUCUUCGCUAGGUAAGCCUUGUCAUGGAGCAGGUGAAGGUGGUGCACGAGGCUAGCCAGGUGGCUUACAACGCUAGUACUCCCCUUCAGGCCAAUGUUCAGGUCAGCAAGACUCUGACUGAACUUUCGAAUGUUGCCUUAUAUCCGAUCACCCACUGGGGUGUUUCUUUACUUAGAGCUUGGGAAAUCUUCCAUGUCACUCGACUUGGGUUGAAUCUCAGCAGACUUUCUGAACCAGUGGGGGCACGCCGAGUGCACCCACUGGGUGUAUUCCACGAGACCACGGUCGAGUGCUGGCAGUCGACUGAGGUCUUAGAAUCUAUCUCUUUUUUUGAACUCACGGUGGGCAGACCCUGCUGAGUAUUGAUCUGAACCAGUGGGGGCACGCUAAGUGCACCCACUGGGUGUAGUCCCCGGGACUACUUGUUGAAUAUUUUAUUUGAUAGUAGUCUUAGAGUAACUUUUCUCCGCCGAUGCCCUUUACUUAUGUCGACUGACAUAUCACUUUUGCUGACUGCAGAGGUCUUGUGAUCUUGGAGCUCGUCUUUCUGAGUUAAAGAAGAAGCAUAUCAGCAUUGAACUUCACCUUGAACUUGCCAAGAAGAAUCCCAAGACUGCUCAAGAAGAGACGGCCAUCAUGGGAGGUAACCAUUCGACCGUUUCAUCUGCUUAGUAGUUCGCACUUCCCACUGCUUUUCAUUUAGUCUCUUUGAACCGAGUGACUUCCACAUAAGCAGAUGUGCAUAGUGAAACCACCAACUUCAGGCUAGUCUUAAGAGUGUUGUUUCUUUAGAGAGAAUGAAGGAGGCGUUGGAGAAGAAGGACCUGGACCUUGAGGCUGCUCAAAAAGAAGCUCGUGAGAAGACGACGCUUGCGGACUAGAAGGUGGCUUCAGUCGGCAAGCUGGAGGAUGAGAACGCGGAGUUGAAGACGGCCGUCUCGGACGCCAAUCGGGAAGUCAAGCAACUAAGGAAGGACAAGGAGAACCUGACCACUGAAGUUGACAACCUCAGAGCCAAGACGGGCAAGCUAGAGACCCAUUUGGAACAACUUGCGGCGAAGCUUGUCUUGUAGCUUGAAGGUAUGACUAUUCGGUUAGAUAAUUGUCGAUGACUGAAAUUUGCAAUACUGUCGACUCAUUGUUUUUUUUGUAAUGGAACAGAACUCUAUCAGGACUUUGAAGCUGAAACUGGACGGGUCGAGACAGGUCUCGACCCCAUCAACUGUCUCGUGAAAGAUGAAGUUGCCAUGAACUUGCUUCGAUUGGAAUCACGCUUGGACGGCGCAGUCGACUAUCUGGCUCGGCUGAAGGCUGCGAUGGCCCGAGUGGACGCCGAACUCUGGCCUCAGGCAGAACUUCCUCAAAGUCUCGAUUCGCUGAUGACUCGACUCAACCAAAUCCCUGACCAAGUGCAAGAUUGGAAGAAGUCUUCUGCCCACUGUGGUGCUGACGUCGCGUUGUCACUGGUUCGCGUGCACUGCAAGGAAGCUAAAGAAGAGAAGCUGGCGGCUCUCAAGGUGGCGAAUACGAAGAAGCACUCUUUUCAGGACUUCAUGGACACCUUCCUCGAGGCAGCUACCCACAUUGCCGACUGUUGGGGAACGUAGUAAUUUCAAAAAAUUUCCUACGUACACGCAAGAUCAUGGUGAUGGCAUAGCAACGAGAGGAGAGAGUGUUGUCCACGUACCCUCGUAGACCGUAAGCGGAAGCGUUAUGACAACGCGGUUGAUGUAGUCGUACGUCUUCACGAUCCGACCGAUCCAAGCACCGAACGUACGGCACCUCCGAGUUCAGCACACGUUCAGCUCGAUGACGUCCCUCGAACUCUGAUCCAGCCGAGUGUCGAGGGAGAGUUUCGUCAGCACGACGGCGUGGUGACGAUCUUGAUGUACUACCGACGCAGGGCUUCGCCUAAGCACCGCUACGAUAUUAUCGAGGUGGAUUAUGGUGGAGGGGGGCACCGCACACGGCUAAGAGAUCCAAGGGAUCAAUUGUUGUUGUCUAGAGGUGCCUCCCUGCCCCUGUAUAUAAAGGAGCAAGGGGGGAGGGGGCGGCCGGCCUAGUAGGGGCGCGCCAAGGGGAGUCCUACUCCCACCGGGAGUAGGACUCCCUCCUUCCUUGUUGGAGUAGGAGAAGGGGGGAAAGAGGGGGAGAGGAGGAAGGAAAGGGGGGCCGCACCCCUUGUCCAAUUCAGACCAGAGGGGGGCUGCACGCCUCCUUCCUUUCGGCCUCUCUCCUGUAUUCCCGUAUGGCCCAAUAAGGCCCAUAUACUCCCCGGCGAAUUCUCGUAACUCUCCGGUACUCCGAAAAAUACCCGAAUCACUCGGAACCUUUCCGAACUCCGAAUAUAGUCGUCCAAUAUAUCGAUCUUUACGUCUCGACCAUUUUGAGACUUCUCGUCAUGUCCCCGAUCUCAUCCGGGACUCCGAACUCCUUCGGUACAUCAAAACUCAUAAACUCAUAAUAUAACUGUCAUCGAAACCUUAAGCGUGCGGACCCUACGGGUUCGAGAACAAUGUAGACAUGACCUAGAACUAUUCUCGGUCAAUAACCAAUAGCGGAACCUGGAUGCUCAUAUUGGCUCCCACAUAUUCUACGAAGAUCUUUAUCGGUGAAACCGCAUAACAACAUACGUUGUUCCCUUUGUCAUCGGUAUGUUACUUGCCCGAGAUUCGAUCGUCGGUAUCCAAUACCUAGUUCAAUCUCGUUACCGGCAAGUCUCUUUACUCGUUACGUAAUGCAUCAUCCUGCAACUAACUCAUUAGUCACAUUGCUUGCAAGGCUUAUAGUGAUGUGCAUUACCGAGAGGGCCCAGAGAUACCUCUCCGACAAUCGGAGUGACAAAACCUAAUCUCGAAAUACGCCAACUGAACAUGUACCUUCGGAGACACCUGUAGUACUCCUUUAUCAUCUCCCAGUUACGUUGUAACGUUUGGUAGUACCCAAAGUGUUCCUCCGGUAAACGGGAGUUGCAUAAUCUCAUAGUUACAGGAACAUGUAUAAGUCAUGAAGAAAGCAAUAGCAACAUACUAAACGAUCAAGUGCUAGGCUAACGGAAUGGGUCAUGUCAAUCACAUCAUUCUCCUAAUGAUGCGAUCCCAUUAAUCAAAUGACAACACAUGUCUAUGGUUAGGAAACAUAACCAUCUUUGAUUAAUGAGCUAGUCAAGUAGAGGCAUACUAGUGACUAUAUCUUUGUCUAUGUAUUCACACAUGUAUCAUGUUUCCGGUUAAUACAAUUCUAUCAUGAAUAAUAAACAUUUAUCAUGAAAUAAGGAAAUAAAUAAUAACUUUAUUAUUGCCUCUAGGGCAUAUUUCCUUCAGUCUCCCACUUGCACUAGAGUCAAUAAUCAAGUUCACAUUGCUAUGUGAUUUAACACCAAUAUUCACAUCUGCAUGUGAUUAAUACCCAUAGUUCACAUCAUCAUGUGAUCAACACCCAAAGGGUUUACUAGAGUCAAUAAUCUAGUUCACAUCGCCAUGUGAUUAACACCCAAAAGAGUACUAAGGUAUGAUCAUGUUUUGCUCGUGAGAGAAGCUUAGUCAACGGGUCUGUCAUAUUCAGAGCCGUAUGUAUUUCGCAAAUAUUCUAUGUCCACAAUGCUCUGCACGGAGCUACUCUAGCUAAUUGCUCCCACUUUUAAUAUGUAUCCAUAUUGAGACUUAGAGUCAUCUGGAUUGGUGUAAAAGCUUGCAUCGUUGUAACUUUUACGACGGGCUCUUUUAUCACCUCCAUAAUCGAGAAACAUCUCCUUAGUCCUCACUAAGGAUAUUCUUGACCCAUGUCCAGUGAUCUACUUAUUAGAUCAAAAUUGUAUUCCUUUGCCAAACACAGAGCAAGGUAUACAAUAGGUCUGUUCACAGCAUAGCACACUUUAUAGAACCUAUGACUGAGGCAUAGGGAAUGACUUUUCAUUCUCUUUCUAUUUUCUGCAAUGGUCGGGUCUUGAGUCUUAUUCAACUUCACACCUUCUAACACAGGCAAGAACUCCUUACUUUGACUGUUCCAUUUUGAACUAUUUCAAAAAUUUAUCAAGGUAUGUACUCAUUGAAAAAUCUUAUCAAGCGUCUUGAUCUAUCUAUAUAGAUCUUGAUGCUCAAUGUGUAAGCAGCUUCACCGAGGUCUUGCUUUGAAAAACUCUUAUUCAAGUAUCCUUUCAUGCUAUCCAGAAUUUCCAUAUCAUUUCCAAUUAACAAUAUGUCAUCCACAUAUAAUAUUAGAAAUGCUACAGAGCUCCCACUCACUUUCUUGUAAAUACAGGCUUCUUCAAAAGUUUGUAUAAAACCAUAUGCUUUGAUCAACUCAUUAAAGCAUAUAUUCCAACUCCGAGAUGCUUGCACCAGUCCAUAGAUGGAUCGCUGGAGCUUGCACAAUUUGUUAGCACCUUUAGGAUUGACAAAACCUUCUGGUUGCAUCAUAUACAACUCUUCUUUAAGAAAACCAUUAAGGAAUGCAGUUUUGUUUAUCCAUUUGCCAGAUUUCAUAAAAUGCGACAAUUGCUAACAUGAUUCAGAUAGACUUAAGCAUAGAUACGAGUGAAAAACUCUCAUCGUAGUCAACACCUUGAACUUGUCGAAACCUUUUGCGACAAUUCUAGCUUUGUAGAUAGUAACACUAUCAGCGUCCGUCUUCCUCUUGAAGAUCCAUUUAAUCUCAAUGUCUCGCCGAUCAUUGGGCAAGUCAAUCAAAGUCCAAACUUUGUUUUCAUACAUGGAUCUUAUCUCAGAUCUCAUGGCCUCAAGCCAUUUUGCGGAAUCUGGGCUCAUCAUCGCUUCCUCAUAGUUCGUAGGUUCAUCAUGGUCUAGUAACAUGACUUCCAGAACAUGAUUACCGUACCACUCUGGUGCGGAUCUUACUCUAGAAGACCUACGAGGUUUUGUAGUAACUUAAUCUGAAGUUUCAUGAUCAUCAUCAUUAACUUCCUCACUAAUUGGUGUAGUAGUCACAGGAACAGAUUUCUGUGAUGAACUAAUUUCCAAUAAGGGAGCAGGUACAGUUACCUCAUCAAGUUCUACUUUCCUCCCACUCACUUCUUUCGAGAGAAACUUCUUGUCUAGAAAGGAUCCAUUCUUGGCAAUGAAUGUUUUUGCCUUUGGAUCUGUGAUAGAAGGUGUACCCAACAGUUUCCUUUGGGUAUUCUAUGAAGACGCACUUCUCCGAUUUGGAUUCGAGCUUAUUAGGUUGAAAACCCUUUACAUAUAAGCAUCGCAACUCCAAACUUUAAGAAACGACAGCUUAGGUUUAUUGCUAAACCAUAGUUCAUACGGUGUCAUCUCAACGGAUUUAGAUGGUGCCCUAUUUAAAGUGAAUGCAGCAGUCUUUAAUACAUAACCCCAAAACGAGAGUGGUAAAUCGGUAAGAGACAUCAUAGAUCGCGCCAUAUCCAAUAAAGUGCGGUUAUGACGUUCGGACACACCAUUACGUUGUGGUGUUCCAUGUGGCGUGAGCUGUGAAACUAUUCCACAUAGUUUUAUAUGAAGGCCAAACUCAUAACUAAAUAUUUGUCUCUGUGAUCAAAUCACAGAAACUUUAUUUUCUUGUUACGAUGAUUCUUCACUUCACUCUGAAAUUCUUUGAACUUUUCAAAUGUUUCAGACUUGUGCUUCAUUAAGUAGAUAUACUCAUAUCUGCUCAAAUCAUCUUGUGAAGGUCAGAAAAUAACGAUACCUGCCACGAGCAUCAACACUCAUUGGACCGCAUACAUCGGUAUGUAUUGUUUCCAAUAAGUCAGUAGCUUGUUCCAUUGUUCCAGAGAACGGAGUUUUAGUCAUCUUGCCCAAAAGGUACGGUUCGCAAGCAUCAAAUGAUUCAUAACCAAGUGAUUCCGAAAGUCCAUCUUUAUGGAGUUUCUUCAUGCGUUUUACACCGAUACGACCCAAACGGCAGUGCCACAAAUAAGUUGCACUAUCAUUAUCAACUUUGCAUCUUUUGGCAUCAAUAUUAUGAAUAUGUGUAUCACUACGAUCAAGAUCCAACAAACUAUUUUUAUUGGGUGUAUGACCAUCAAAGGUUUUAUUCAUUUAAACAGAACAACAAUUAUUCUCUGAUUUUAAAUGAAUAACCGUAUUGCAAUAAACAUGAUCAAAUCAUAAUCAUGCUCAACGCAAACGCCAAAUAACAUUUAUUUAGGUUCAACACUAAUCCCGAAAGUAUAGGGAGUGUGCAAUGAUGAUCAUAUCAAUCUUGGAACCACUUCCAACACACAUCAUCACUUCACCCUCAACUAGUUUCUGUUUAUUCUGUAACUCCUGUUUCGAGUUACUAAUCUUAGCAGCCGAACAAGUAUCAAAAUACUCAGGGGCUACUAUAAACACUAGUAAGGCACACAUCAAACACCUGUAUAUCAAAUAUACCUUUGUUCACUUUGCCAUCCUUCUUAUCCACCAAAUAUUUAGGGCAUUUCCGCUUCCAGUGACCAUUUCCUUUGUAGUGUAAGCACUCAGUUUCAGGCUUUAGUCCAGCUUUGGUCUUCUUCACGGGAGAGACAACUUGCUUGCCAUUCUGCUUGAAGUUCCCUUUCUUUCCCUUUGCCCUUUUCUUGAAACUAGUGGUCUUGUCAAUCAUCAACACUUGAUGCUCUUUCUUGAUUUCUACCUUCGUCGAUUUCAACAUCACGAAGAGCUCGAGAAUCGUUUUCGUCAUCCCUUGCAUACUAUAGUUCAUCACAAAGUUCUACUAACUUGGUGAUGGUGACUAGAGAAUUCUGUCAAUCACUAUCUUAUCUGGAAGAUUAACUCCCACUUGAUUCAAGCGAUUGUAGUACCCAGACAAUCUGAGCACAUGCUCACUAGUUGAGCGAUUCUCCUCCAUCUUUUAGCCAUAGAACUUGUUGGAGACUUCAUAUCUCUCAACUAGGGUAUUUGCUUGAAAUAUUAACUUCAAUUGCUGGAACAUCUCAUAUGGUCCAUGAUGUUCAAAACAUAUUUGAAGUCCCGAUUCUAAGCCGUUAAGCAUGGUGCACAAAACUAUCAAGUAGUCAUCAUAUUGAGCUAGCCAAACGUUCAUAACGUCUGCAUCUGCUCCUGCAAUAGGUCAGUCACCUAGCGGUACAUUAAGGACAUAAUUCUUCUGUGCAGCAAUGAGGAUAAACCUUAGAUCACGGAUCCAAUCCGCAUCAUUGCUACUAACAUCUUUCAACACAAUUUUCUCCAGGAACAUAUCAAAAUAAACAUAUGAAAGCAACAACGCAAGCUAUUGAUCUUCAACAUAAUUUGCAAAAUACUACCAGGACUAAGUUCAUGAUAAAUUAAAGUUUAAUUAAUCAUAUUACUUAAGAACUCCCACUUAGACAGACAUCUCUCUAGUCAUCUAAGUGAUCACAUGAUCCAAAUCAACUAAACCAUGUCCGAUCAUCACGUGAGAUGGAGUAGUUUUCAAUGGUGAACAUCACUAUGUUGAUCAUAUCUACUAUAUGAUUCACGCUCGACCUUUCAGUCUCCGUGUUCCGAGGCCAUAUCUGUAUAUGCUAGGCUCGUCAAGUCUAACCCAAGUAUUCCGCGUGUGAAACUGUUUUGCACCCGUUGUAUUUGAACGUAGAGCCUAUCACACCCGAUCAUCACGUGGUGUCUCAGCACGAAGAACUUUCGCAACGGUGCAUACUCAGGGACAACACUUCUUGAUAAUUAGUGAGAGAUCAUCUUAAAAUGCUACCGUCAAACAAAACAGAAUAAGAUGUAUAACAGAUAAACAUCAUAUGCAAUCAAAAUAUGUGACAUGAUAUGGCCAUGAUCAUCUUGCGCCUUUGAUCUCCAUCUCGAAAGUACUGUCAUGAUCUCUAUCGUUACCGGCACGACACCAUGAUCUUCAUCAUCUUGAUCUAUAUCAAUGUGUCGUCACAUGAUCGUCUCGCCAACUAUUGCUCUUGCAACUAUUGCUAUCGCAUAGCGAUAAAGUAAAGCAAUUAUUUGGCACUUGCAUCUUAUGCAACAAAGAGACAACCAUAGGGCUUCUGCCAGUUGCCGAUAACUUCAACAAAACAUGAUCAUCUCAUACAACAACUUAUAUUUCAUCACGUCUUGACCAUAUCACAUCACAACAUGCCCUGCAAAAACAAGUUAGACGUCCUCUACUUUGUUGUUGCAAGUUUUACGUGGCUGCUACGGGUUUAGCAAGAACCGUUCUUACCUACGCAUCAAAAACCACAACGAUAGUUUGUCAAGUUGGUGCUAUUUUAACCUUCGCAAGGACCGGGUGUAGCCACACUCGAUUCAGCUAAAGGGAGAGAGACAGACACCCACCGGCCACCUUUAAGCACAAGUGCUUGUAACGGUAAAACCAGUCUCGCGUAAGCGUACGCGUAAUGUCGGUCCGGGCCACUUCAUCUCACAAUACCGCCAAACCAAAGUAUGACAUGCUGGUAAGCAGUAUGACUUGUAUCGCCCACAACUCACUUGUGUUCUACUCGUGCAUAUAACAUCAACGCAUAAAACCUGGCUCGGAUGCCACUGUUGGGGAACGUAGUAAUUUCAAAAAAUUUCCUACGUACACGCAAGAUCAUGGUGAUGGCAUAGCAACGAGAGGAGAGAGUGUUGUCCACGUACCCUCGUAGACCGUAAGCGGAAGCGUUAUGACAACGCGGUUGAUGUAGUCGUACGUCUUCACGAUCCGACCGAUCCAAGCACCGAACGUACGGCACCUCCGAGUUCAGCACACGUUCAGCUCGAUGACGUCCCUCGAACUCCGAUCUAGCCGAGUGUCGAGGGAGAGUUCCGUCAGCACGACGGCGUGGUGACGAUCUUGAUGUACUACCGACGCAGGGCUUCGCCUAUGCACCGCUACGAUAUUAUCGAGGUGGAUUAUGGUGGAGGGGGGCACCGCACACGGCUAAGAGAUCCAAGGGAUCAAUUGUUGUUGUCUAGAGGUGCCUCCCUGCCCCCGUAUGUAAAGGAGCAAGGGGGGAGGGGGCGGCCGGCCUAGUAGGGGCGCGCCUAGGGGAGUCCUACUCCCACCGGGAGUAGGACUCCCUCUUUCCUUGUUGGAGUAGGAGAAGGGGGGAAAGAGGGGGAGAGGAGGAAGGAAAGGGGGGCCGCACCCCUUGUCCAAUUCAGACCAGAGGGGGGCUGCACGCCUCCUUCCUUUCGGCCUCUCUCCUCUAUUCCCGUAUGGCCCAAUAAGGCCCAUAUACUCCCCGGCGAAUUCUCGUAACUCUCCGGUACUCCGAAAAAUACCCGAAUCACUCGGAACCUUUCCGAACUCCGAAUAUAGUCGUCCAAUAUAUCGAUCUUUACGUCUCGACCAUUUUGAGACUUCUCGUCAUGUCCCCGAUCUCAUCCGGGACUCCGAACUCCUUGGGUAUAUCAAAACUCAUAAACUCAUAAUAUAACUGUCAUCGAAACCUUAAGCGUGCGGACCCUACGGGUUCGAGAACAAUGUAGACAUGACCUAGAACUAUUCUCGGUCAAUAACCAAUAGCGGAACCUGGAUGCUCAUAUUGGCUCCCACAUAUUCUACUAAGAUCUUUAUCGGUCAAACGGCAUAACAACAUACGUUGUUCCCUUUGUCAUCGGUAUGUUACUUGCCCGAGAUUUGAUCGUCGGUAUCCAAUACCUAGUUCAAUCUCGUUACCGGCAAGUCUCUUUACUCGUUACAUAAUGCAUCAUCCUGCAACUAACUCAUUAGUCACAUUGCUUGCAAGGCUUAUAGUGAUGUGCAUUACCGAGACGGCCCAGAGAUACCUCUCCGACGAUCGGAGUGACAAAAUCUAAUCUCGAAAUACGCCAACUCAACAUGUACCUUCGGAGACACCUGUAGUACUCCUUUAUAAUCACCCAGUUACGUUGUGACGUUUGGUAGCACCCAAAGUGUUCCUCCGGUAAACACAAGUUGCAUAAUCUCAUAGUUACAGGAACAUGUAUAAGUCAUGAAGAAAGCAAUAGCAACAUACUAAACAAUCAAGUGCUAGGCUAACGGAAUGGGUCAUGUCAAUCACAUCAUUCUCCUAAUGAUGUGAUCCCAUUAAUCAAAUGACAACACAUGUCUAUGGUUAGGAAACAUAACCAUCUUUGAUUAAUGAGCUAGUCAAGUAGAGGUAUACUAGUGACUAUAUGUUUGUCUAUGUAUUCACACAUGUAUCAUGUUUCCGGUUAAUACAAUUCUAGCAUGAAUAAUAAACAUUUAUCAUGAUAUAAGGAAAUAAAUAAUAACUUUAUUAUUGCCUCUAGGGCAUAUUUCCUUCAGUCUCCCACUUGCACUAGAGUCAAUAAUCUAGUUCACAUCGCCAUGUGAUUUAACACCAAUAUUCACAUCUGUAUGUGAUUAAUAUCCAUAGUUCACAUCAUCAUGUGAUCAACACCCAAAGGGUUUGUUCACAUCGCUAUGUGAUUAACACCCAAAGAGUACUAAGGUAUGAUCAUGUUUUUCUUGUGAGAGAAGUUUAGUCAACGGGUCUGUCAUAUUCAGAGCCGUAUGUAUUUUGCAAAUAUUCUAUGUCCACAAUGCUCUGCACGGAGCUACUCUAGCUAAUUGCUCCCACUUUCAAUAUGUAUCCAGAUUGAGACUUAGAGUCAUCUGGAUUGUUGUAAAAGUUUGCACCGAUGUAACUCUUUAUGAUGUGCUCUUUUAUCACCUCCAUAAUCGAGAAACAUCUCCUUAGUCCUCACUAAGGAUAUUCUUGACCGCUUUCCAGUGAUCUACUCUUAGAUCAAAAUUGUAUUCCUUUGUCAAACUCAGAGCAAGGUAUACAAUAGGUCUGAUUCACAGCAUAGCAUACUUUAUAGAACCUAUGACUGAGGCAUAGGGAAUGACUUUUCAUUCUCUUUAUAUUUUCUGCCAUGGUCGGGUCUUGAGUCUUACUCAACUUCACACCUUUGCAUCACAGGCAAGAACUCCUUCUUUGACUGUUCUAUUUUGAACUAUUUCAAAAAUUUAUCAAGGUAUGUACUCAUUGAAAAAAUCUUAUCAAGCAUCUUGAUCUAUCUAUAUAGAUCUUGAUGCUCAAUGUGUAAGCAGCUUCACCGAGGUCUUUCAUUGAAAAACUCCUUUCAAACACUCCUUUAUGCUUUGCAGAAUAAUUCUACAUUAUUUCCAAUCAACAAAAUGUCAUUCACAUAUACUUAUCAGAAAUGUUGUAGUGCUCCCACUCACUUUCUUGUAAAUACAGUCUUUCCAAAAGUCUGUAUAAAACCAUAUGCUUUGAUCAACUCAUCAAAACGUAUAUUCCAACUCCGAGAUGCUUGCACCAGUCCAUUGAUGGAUCACUGGAGCUUGCACAUUUUGUUAGCAUCUUUAGGAUUGAAAAAACCUUCUGGUUGCAUCAUAUGCAACUCUUCUUUAAUAAAUCCAUUAAGGAAUGCAGUUUUGACAUCCAUUUGCCAGAUUUCAUAAAAUGUGGCAAUUGCUAGCAUGAUUCGGACUGACUUAAGCAUCAUUAUGAGUGAGAAAAUCUCAUCGUAUUCAACACCUUGAACUUGUCAAAAACAUUUUGCAACAAGUCGAGCUUUGCAGAUAGUAACACUACUAUCAGUGUCCGUCUUCCUCUUGAAGAUCCAUUUAUUUUCUAUGGCUUGCCGAUCAUCGGGCAACUCCACCAAAGUCCACACUUUGUUCUCAUACAUGGAUCCCAUCUCAGAUUUCAUGGCCUCAAGCCAUUUCGCGGAAUCUGGGCUCAUCAUCGCUUCCUCAUAGUUCGUAGGUUCAUCAUGGUCUAGUAACAUGACUUCCAGAACAUGAUUACCGUACCACUCUGGUGCGGAUCUUUACUCUGGAAGACCUACGAGGUUUGGUAGCAACUUGAUUUGAAGUUUCAUGAUCAUCAUCAUUAUCUUCCUCACUAAUUGGUGUAGGAAUCACUAGAACUGAUUUCUGUGAUGAACUACUUUCCAAUAAGGGAGAAGGUAUAAUUACCUCAUCAAGUUCUACUUUCCUCCCACUCACUUCUUUCGAGAGAAACUUCUUCUCUAGAAAGGAUCCAUCUUAGCAACGGAUAACUUGCCUUCGGAUAUGUGAUAGAAGGUGUACCCAAUAGUUACCUUUGGGUAUUCUAUGAAGAUGCACUUCUCUGAUUUGGGUUCAAGCUUAUCAGGUUGAAACUUUUCCACAUAAGCAUCGCAGCCCCAAACUUUUAAGAAACGACAGCUUAGGUUUAUUGCUAAACCAUAGUUCAUACGAUGCCGUCUCAAUGGAUUUAGAUGGUGCCCUAUUUAACGUGAAUGCAGCUGUCUCUAAUGCAUAACCCCAAAAUGAUAGUGGUAAACCAAUAAGAGACAUCAUAGAUCGCACCAUAUCUAAUAAAGUGCGGUUACGACGUUCGGACACACCAUAAUGUUGUGGUGUUCCAGGUGGCAUGAGCUGUGAAACUAUUCCACAUUGUUUUAAUUGAAGACCAAACUCGUAACUCAAAUAUUUGUCUCCGCGAUCAGAUCGCAGAAACUUUAUUUUGUUGUUACAAUGAUUUUUUCACUUCACUCUGAAAUUCUUUGAACCUUUCAACUAUUUCAGACUUAUGUUUCAUCAAGUAGAUAUACCCAUAUCUGCUCAAAUCAUCUUGUGAAGGUCAGAAAAUAACGAUACUCGCCACGAGCAUCAACACUCAUUGUAUUGGGUGUGUUGGGGACACAAGAGACUCUUUGUUAUUUGGUUGCAGGGUUGUUUGGGAGAGACCAUCUUCAUCCUACGCCUCCUACGGAUUGAUAAACCUUAGGUCAUCCACUUGAGGGAAAUUUGCUACUGUCCUACAAACCUAUGCACUUGUAGGCCCAACAACGUCUACAAGAAGAAGGUUGUGUAGUAGACAUCAAGAUCUUUUCUGGCGCCGUUGCCGGGGAGGUGAGUGCUUGAAGGUAUAUCUUUAGACCUUGCAAUCAAAUCUUUUUGUUUCUUGUUUUAUCACUAGUUUAGUUUAUAAAAGAGAACUACCAAAAAAAUGGAGUUUAGUUUGUCUCAUACGCUUCGUCUUUUUGAUAUCUUUCGUGAGUAUGAUGGAAAGGAAAAAUGUGCUCAAGUGCUAGAAGAAGAAUGCAUUAAAAUUCUUGGAACUAAAUCUUUGAAUGAUGAGGAUGAUUGCAAUGUUGUUAGUAUGAACUCUUUGAAUAUCCAUAGUACUAAUGAUGAUUGCACUAGUUAUGAUGAAAAUGUCUCUUAUAAGAAUGUUGAUUUUUGUGGAGUAGAAUGGGUUUGCAUGGACACACCAAAUAGAGAAAAUAGAUAUUGCAAGAGGCAUAAGUAUUUAGAAACUAAAGGUUUGCAAGAAAGCCUUGAUGAUUGUGCUGAAAGAUUCAAUAUUUUUCGUGCCCCUUGUGAACUUUGCAAUGAAUGUGGUCAUUUAAAUCUCCAAUGCAAAUUGUUUCAUUCUUGAAUCGUGUCCAAAAAUUGUGAUGAAUUGAUUUCCCUUGCAAAUCAUAAUGAACUUAGUUUGCUUUUGUGGUAUGAAGAAAUGAAACAUAUAAUUAAGGUAUUCCAAAAUUUAAUCUUAAUAGAUUUCUUGAUUUUGAUCUAGAGACGAUUUAUAUGUUUUGUGUGGAGAAUUGCAUUGAAAAUCCUUAUAUUGCCAAGUACCUAAAGAAAGGAAAAAGAAGAAGAUGAGAAUACUAAUGAAAGGGAAGAGACUUCCCAAUAUCCUCCUAUUAUUUCUUAUGAUGAAUCAGGUAACGAGGAGGAGCUUUUAUUCAACCAAUCUCAUCAAUAAGGAGCUCAAAGAGGAAGGUUGAACCCACACAUAAUGUGAAGAAGAAAAAGAAAAGAAGGAGCAACAAAGGUAGAAAGGUAUCCCUCCCAAAUGAUGUUGCUCCUACUACUCACUAUGAUGAUGAUAAUUGCUAUAUAUUGGUGCUAUCCAUACUAUUGAUGACGAUUAUGCUUGUGAUAUGAAAAGGCCCAACCUUGGGGAAGAUAUGUUUGACGAGGAUGAAAUAUUUGAGAAUAUAGUUUCUGAAAUUAAUGAUUGUCGCAAGAUGAUAUUUUUAGCCUCCCAAGUUUUGACAUGCAAAGUUGUUAUGAUGAUAGCAUGCCUCUUUAUGAUGAUUAUAUUGAUGAAAGUGGGUUUGAAAGAGUGUCAACUUUAGGAAGUAGUGAUACCACUAUUUUGGAGGAUGUUGAAUCUUAUUGUGAUGAAUAUGAAAGUGGAUUUGGAAGAGUGUCAACUUUAUUUAGUGAUUCCACUAUCUUGGGAGAGGUUUCAAUCGAUUAUGAUGAGAACGAAGUUGCUACUUAUGAUGAUUAUUGUGAUGAAAUUUAUGCUAUAAAAAGUAGUAAUGAUUAUAUUUAUAAAACUUAUCAUGAUUAUGAUUACCCUUUUUCUGAACAUUACUCUUUUAAUGUGGAAACAAUUUAUAGUGUUCAAGUCUCCUCCAUGUAGCAACUAGGGGUUGUCAGUGUCUUCCAUGCUAGGUGGAUUAUUCUCAAGAGGAGUGGACUCCGCUCCUCAUUCACGAGAAAGGGGCGGUAACCGGGAUGCCCAGUCCCAUGAGCAAACAAAACUCCCCCAGGUUUGAUGUUAGUUGGAGGCACCCGUUGUUUCGGACGAGCCAUGGAUUGAUGAUUGUUGGUGGAGGGGGAGUAAAAACUUUUACCAUUCUGUUUGAGAACCGCCUAUAAUGUAUGUAGUAUGGAAGAUAUUGGGAACUCUUGGUUGUUAUGUUGACAUUGAGAUCAUACCUCUCAAAAUUAUUUAUCUCUAUUUCAAAAUCGAGCUCUGGCACCUCUGCAAAUCCCUGCUUCCCUCUGCGAAGGGCCUAUCUUUUACUUUAUGUCAUUUACUUUACGCAAGAGUCAAGGUGAUCUUCACCUUUCCCUUUUUCAUUUUAUCCUUUGGCAAGCACUUUGUGUUAGGGUGAUCCUGAUAUAUAUAUCCAACUGGAUGUAAGUUAGCAUGAACUAUUAUUGUUGACAUUACCCAAAGGUGAAUAUGUUUGGAGGCAACAUUAUAAGCCCCUAUCUUUCUCUGUGUCUGAUUAAAACUCCGUAACCACAAGUACUGCAUGAGUGUUAGCAAUUGUAGAAGACUAUAUGAUAGUUGAGUAUGUGAAGUUUGCUAAAUCGAAGCUCUGACAUAGACCCUUCCUGAAAAAAGGAUGAAUUGCAAUUGUUUGAUGACUAAGAAUGAAGUUUGCUAGUUUUCAAGAAAGUUUAUGGUCUAUGCUUUAACAUGCGAAUUACUUGUUACUUGAUUAUGAAAAGUUUUAUGGGAUGAACUACUGUUAUGAAAUAUAUUGAUGCUAGUAAAGGUGAUUGAAAUUAUCAUUGAUCAAACUUGUGCACCUCUAGCAUUCACACUUCAUAAAUUCUUUCUUUUAUCAUUUACCUACUCGAGGACGAGCAGGAAUUAAGCUUGGGGAUGCUGAUACGUCUCCAACGUAUCUAUAAUUUAUGAAGCAUUCAUGCUAUUUUAUUAUCUCUUUUAAAUGAUUACGGGCUUUAUUAUACACUUUUAUAUUACUUUUGGGACUAACCUAUUAACCGGAGGCCUAGCCCAUAUUGUUGUUUUAUUACCUGUUUCAGUAUUUCGAAGAAAAGGAAUAUCAAACGGAGUCCAAACGGAAUGAAACCUUCAGCAGCAUGAUUUUUGGAAAGAUUAUGAUCCAGAAGACUUGGAGUGCAAGCCGGGGGGUCAUCGAGGAAACCACGAGACAGGGGGCACGCCCACCCCCUAGGCACGCCCUACCCUCUCGUGGGCACCUCGAGGCUCCCCCGACAGACUUCUUUCGCCUAUAUAAGCCUACGUACCCUAAAAACAUCGAAUAUCAAGAUAGAUCGGGAGUUCCGCCGCCGCAAGCCUCUGUAGCCACCAGAAACCUCUCGGGAGCCCUUCCCGGCACCCUGCCGGAGGGGGGAUCCUUCACCGAUGGCCAUCUUUCAUCAUCCCGGCACUCUACAUGACGAGGAGGAAGUAGUUGACCCUCGAGGCUGAGGGUAUGUACCAAUAGCUAUGUGUUUGAUCUCUCUCUCUCUCUCUCGUGUUCUCUCUCGUGUUCCCUCUAUGGCAUGAUCUUGAUGUAUCCCGAGGUUUGCUAUUGUAGUUGGAUCUUAUGAUGUUUCUCCCCCUCUACUCUCUUGUAAUGGAUUGAGUUUUCCCCUUUGAAGUUAUCUUAUCAGAUUGAGUCUUUUAUGAUUUGAGAACACUUGAUUUAUGUCUUGCCGUGAUUAUCUGUGGUGACAAUGGGAUAUCAUGUGCCACUUGAUGUAUGUUUUGGUGAUCAACUUGCGGGUUUCGCCCAUGAACCUAUGCAUAGGGGUUGGCACGCGUUUUCAUCUUGACUCUCCGGUAGAAACUUUGGGGCACUCUUUGAAGUACUUUGUGUUGGUUGAAUAGAUGAAUUUGAGAUUGUGUGAUGCAUAUCGUAUAAUCAUGCCCACGGAUACUUGAGGUGACAAUGGAGUAUCUAGGUGACAUUAGGGUUUUGGUUGAUUUGUGUCUUAAGGUGUUAUUCUAGUAUGAACUCUAUGAUGGAUUGAGCGGAAAGAAUAGCUUCAUGUUAUUUUACUACGAACUCUUGAAUAGAUAGAACAGAAAGGAUAACUUUGAGGUGGUUUCGUACCCUAUCAUAAUCUCUUCGUUUGUUCUCCGCUAUUAGUGGCUUUGGAGUGACUCUUUGUUGCAUGUUGAGGGAUUGUUAUAUGAUCUAUCUAUGUUAUUAUUGUUGAGAGAACUUGCACUAGUGAAAGUAUGAACCCUAUGCCUUGUUUCCUACCAUUACAAUUCCGUUUACGCUCACUUUCAUCAUUAGUUACCUUGCUGUUUUUAUAAUGUCAGAUUACAAAUACCUUUAUCUACCAUCCAUAUUGCACUUGUAUCACCAUCUCUUCGCCGAACUAGUGCACCUAUACAAUUUACCAUUGUAUUGGGUGUGUUGGGGACACAAGAGACUCUUUGUUAUUUGGUUUCAGGGUUGUUUGAGAGAUACCAUAGUUGCAUAAUUAUUUAGCUACUCAUUGAUCUUCACUUAUAUCUUUUUGGAGUAGUUUGCCAUUUACUCGUGUGCUUCACUUAUAUCCUAUGAGUAAAUGGUUGAAUGAGUUGAUUGUCAUAAAUCUGAAAGUAUAUAUGUCUCAUUUGCUUAUCCCAUGGGUAGAAAUGACUUCACAUCUAAGAAGUAGAGGUUGUAAAUUUAUUGACGGUUAGCAAGCAUUGUAUUGGUCAUUUGAACAAUUCAUAAAAUAAUAUUGAAGGAAGAGAGAUUUCACAUAUAAAUAUACUAUCCUAGACAUCUUUUAUAAUUGUGAGCACUCAUUAUGUAUGACAUGCUAAAGAGUUGAUGUUGGACAAGGAAGACAACAUAAUGGGUUAUGUUUUCUUGCAUCUCAGUUAAAGUAUAUUGUCAUGGAUCAUUCAAACAUGUUGAGCUUGCCUUUCCCCCUCAUGCUACCCAAAAAUUCCUAGCACCAAGUAGAGAUACUACUUGUGCUUCCCAAUAUCCUUAAACCCAGUUUUGCCAUGAGAAUCCACCAUAUCUACCUAUGGAUUGAGUAAGAUCCUUCAAGUGAGUUGUCAUCGGUGCGAGCAAUAAAAAUUGCUCUCUAAAUAUGCAUGACUUAUUAGUGUGGAGAAAAUAAGCUUUGUACAAUCUUGUUAUGGAAGCAAUAAAAGCGACGGACUGCAUAAUAAAGGUCCAUAUACAAGGGGCAAUAUAAAGUGAUGUUCUUUCGCAUUAAGAUUUUGUGUAUCCAACCCUAAAAGCGCAUGACAACCUCUACUUCCCUCUACGAAGGGCCUAUCUUUUACUUUAUGUCUUUUACUUUAUGCAAGAGUCAAGGUGAUCUUCACCUUUCCCUUUUUCAUUUUAUCCUUUGGCAAGCACUUUGUGUUAGGGUGAUCUUGAUAUAUAUAUCCAAUUGGAUGUACAUUAGCAUGAACUAUUAUUGUUGACAUCACCCAAAGGUGAAUACGUUUGGAGGCAACAUUAUAAGCCCCAAUCUUUCUCUGUGUCUGAUUAAAACUCCGUAACCACAAGUACUGCGUGAGUGUUAGCAAUUGUAGAAGACUAUAUGAUAGUUGAGUAUGUGAAGUUUGCUAAAUCGAAGCUCUGACAUAGACUCUUCCUGAAAGUAAGAUGAAUUGCAAUUGUUUGAUGACUAAGAAUGAAGUUUGCUAGUUUUCAAGAAAGUUUAUGGUCUAUGCUUUAACAUGUGAAUAGAUUGUUACUUGAUUAUGAAUAGUUUUAUGAGAUGAACUACUGUUAUGACAUAUAAUCAUGGUAGAAAAGGUGAUUGAAAUUAUCAUUGAUCAAACUCGUGCACCUCUAGCAUUCACACUUCAUAAAUUCUUUCUUUUAUCAUUUACCUACUCAAGGACAAGCGGGAAUUAAGCUUGGGGAUGCUGAUAUGUCACCAACGUAUCUAUAAUUUAUGAAGCAUGCAUGCUAUUUUAUUAUCUGUUUUGAAUGAUUACGGGCUUUAUUAUACACUUUUAUAUUACUUUUGGGACUAACCUAUUAACCGGAGGCCCAACCCAUAUUGCUGUUUUAUUGCCUAUUUCAGUAUUUCGAAGAAAAGGAAUAUCAAACGGAGUCCAAACGGAAUGAAACCUUCGGCAGCGUUAUUUUUGGGAAGCAUUUCACCCAGGAGACUUGGAGUUCACGUCAGAAGAGCCUCGAGGAGGCCACGAGAUAGGAGGGCGCCCCCCCUACUGGGCGCACCCUCCUAUCUCAUGGGCCCCUCGAGCACCACCCGACCGAGUUCUUUCGCCUAUAUAAGCCUAUGUACCCUAAAAACAUCGAACAUCAAGAUAGAUCGGGAGUUCCGCCGCCGCAAGACUCUAUAGCCACGAAAAACCUCUCGGGAGCCCUUCUCGGCACCCUGCCGGAGGGGGGAUAGAGGGAGUCCUGGAUUAGGGGGUAUCCGGACAGCCGGACUAUAUACAUUGUCCGGACUAUCGAAGCGUCAAGAUACAAGACUCAAGACUUCGGCUCGUGGCCGAAUGGGACUCUCCUUUGCGUGGAAGACAAGCUUGGCGAUCCGGAUAUUAUAUUUCCUUCCUUGUAACCGACUCCAUGUAGACCCUUGCUCUCCGGUGUCUAUAUAAGCUGGAGAGGAUGGUCCUUAGAAGUCUGAUCACAAUUACAAUCAUACCAUCAUACGCUAGCUCUUAGGGUUUAGCCUUUACGAUCUCGUGGUAGAUCUACUCUUGUACUACUCAUAUCAUCAAUAUUAAUCAAGAAGGAAGUAGGGUUUUACCUCUAUCGAGAGGGCCCGAACCUGGGUAAAUAUUGUGUCCCUUGCUUCCUGUUACCAUCUGCCUAAGACGCACAGAUCGGGACCCCCUACCCGAGACCCGCCGGUUUUGACACUGACAUUGGUUCUUUCAUUGAGAGUUCCUCUGUGUCGUCGCUUCAAGGCUUGAUGGCGUCUUCAAUCAUCAACAACACAGUCCAGGGUGAGACUUUUCUCCCCGGACAGAUCUUUGUGUUCGGCGGCUUCGAACUGUGGGCCAAUUCGCUUGGUCAUCUGGAGCAGAUCGACAGCUGCGCCCCUGGCUACCAGAUCAGGUUUGGAAACUUGAACUACACGGCGUGUAUUCGCAGAGACUUGAUCUUUGACGGGUUCGGCCCUAUGCCAGGAGCGCCGGAUAGUCACGACGAGCACGGCCCAGACCUGCUGUCGGACAAUGCUCAGAACAUCAUCCCUGCAAUAGCCCCGGAUCUAAAUCCGGAAUAGGUUGCGUUGCCCAAGGACGAGGGGAUGGACCCUGCCCCGCAGGCCGCACGCUCAUUGGCGGUGGAGCCGAACACAUGUCACAUCUCUGUGGAGGCCUGUAACCCUGGGCCCCCAGACUCAUAUCCGGUUGUUGGCUCACGUUCGCACACUCUCGAGCCAGCCGAGCCAGGUUGGGCUCCGGUAAUGGAGUUUACCUCUGCGGACAUCUUUCAGCACUCGCCUUUUGGCGACAUGCUGAACUCAUUAAAGUCUCUCUCUUUGCCAGGAGGCUCUGGGCCGAACUAUGUCCGGCUUGAGUGGGAAGCAGGCGACGAAGGAAGUCGCUGCCCACCCACCACCCACUUUGUCGCCACGAUCGAUGAUUUGACCGACGUGCUCGACUUUGACUUCGAAGACAUCGACGGUAUGGCCAACGAUGCAGGAGACGUAUAGGAGCCAUCGCUCACAGGACGGUGGACAGCCACCUCUUCAUACGAUAUAUACAUGGUGGACACUCUGCAAGAAACCAAUGGCGAUGAGGCAAUGGAGGAUAACCCCUCCAAGAAGAAAGCAAAGCAUGGGCGUCGCCCGCGCCUCUCCAAGCCCCGCCAUGGCAAUACCGGCACCAGAGACGAAGACAAUCCGGACGGUGCCGACGAUGAAUACAACCCUGAACAGCCCGCCUUCGAGCAGGCCGAACAUGAAGAUGGGCAUGACAGCCCAGAUGAACAGGCGAUGGACGGGUAUCUGGAGGAGGACAACUACAUGCCCCUCUCCAAAGACGAGAUUAGCCUCAGCGACGACGAGUUCGGCGUACCCGAAGACCCCGCAGAGCAGGAGCGCUUCAAGCACCGGCUUAUUACCACUGCGAGAAGCCUGAAGAAGAAGAAGCACCAGCUUCAAGCUGAUCAAGAUCAGCUCACAGAUAGAUGGACAGAAGUCCUGGCAGCCGAGGAAUAUGGACUCGAGCGCCACACGGCUGACCGGCCGCCCCGAGGUCGGGAUAAAUCAGCACAUCAGCCCGAAUACCAGCCCCCAACCCCUAGCCGGUUUGCCACGACCCGGGGCAAUACUCAGGACCUGCGCGAUAAACUGGAUAACACUGCAGGACAACCAAGAUUGAUCUACGAAUCACGGGGGCGCACCGCAGCACAUGACGAUGACCGUCAUACCGGAUACACUACCAGCAAAUCCGGCCGGGCCGAAUAUAACCAGUCAGACGCAGCCGGACUGUGUCGCGACAUAGCCCAGUACAGAGGCGUCGCACACCCCCUCUGCUUCUCCGAUGAAGUGAUGGAUCAUGAAUUCCCAGAAGGGUUCAAACCCGUAAACAUUGAAUCAUACGAUGGCACAACAGACCCCGUGGUAUGGAUUUCCUUCUCCACAUUCACAUGGCCCGCGGAGACGAUCUACAUGCCAUCAAGUACCUUCCCCUUAACCUCAAAGGACCCGCCCGGCACUGGCUAAACAGCCUGCCCGCAAAUUCCAUUGGCAGUUGGGAAAACCUGGAAGACGCAUUUCUUGACAACUUGCAAGGCACAUAUGUGCGACCUCCAGAUGCCGAUGACUUGAGCCACAUUACUCAACAGCCCGGAGAAUCAGCCAGGUAAUUCUGGACUCGGUUCCUAACUAAAAAGAACCAAAUAGUCGACUGUCCGAACGACGAAGCCCUGGUGGCCUUCAAGCAUAAUAUCCGUGACGAGUGGCUCGCCCGACACCUCGGCCAGGAGAAACCCAAGUCUAUGGCAGCUCUCACGACACUAAUGACCCGCUUUUGCGCAGGCGAGGACAGUUGGUUGGCUCGCAGCAGCACUACGCCACAUUCUGGCACGUCAGACGUUCGCGACAACAAUGGCAAGCAACGGCGCAGCAUACACAAGUGACGGAACAACGGUGACAACAUCGAAGACACAUCGGUCAAUGCCGGAUUCAGCGAAUCCAAAUCCGGUAAGCGGAAGAAGCCAUUCAAACGCAACAAUCAGGGACCGUCCAGUCUAGAAUGUAUACUGGAGCGCUCGUGCCAAAUUCAUGGCACCCCGGACAAGCCGGCUAACCACACCAAUAGAUACUGCUGGGUAUUUAAACAUGCCGGCAAAAUAAACACCGAAAACAAGGACAAGGGGCUGCACAGCAACGAUGACGAGGAGCCCCGGCGUCCGAACAUGGGGGGCCAGAAGAAAUCCCCCCAGGUGAAAACGGUCAACAUGAUCUACGCCACCCACAUCCCAAAGCGGGAACGGAAGCGAGCACUACGGGACGUCUACGCGAUGGAGCCAGUCGUCCCCAAAUUCAACCCAUGGUCAGCUUGUCCGAUCACCUUUGAUCGUAGGGAUCAUCCUACUAGCAUCCGUCACGGCGGCUCAACCGCAUUGGUUCUAGACCCAAUCAUAGACGGAUUUCACCUCACAAGAGUCCUUAUGGAUGGAGGCAGCAGCCUGAACCUGCUUUAUCAGGACACAAUACCCAAAAUGGGCAUCGAUCCUUCAAGGAUUAAGCCCACCAAAACCACCUUUAAAGGUGUCAUUUCUGGAGUAGAGACCCGCUAUACGGGCUUUAUAACAUUGGAAGUGGUCUUCGGAUCUCCGGAUAACUUCCAAAGCGAGAUAUCGUCCCUUUCCAUAGUGGCUACCACGCACUGCUAGGACGAACAGCAUUCGCUAGAUUCAAUGUGGUACCACACUAUGCAUACCUCAAGCUCAAGAUGCCAGGCCCAUGCAGGGUCAUAAUAGUCAACGGAAAUAUGGACCGCUCUCUCCGUACAGAAGAGCACACUGUAGCCCUUGCGGUAGAAGUACAAUGCAGCCUCCUCCGGCAAACCACCAAUCCGGCGACGACAACCUCAAGCUCCGUCAAGCGAGGACGGAACACCCCACAACAGGAUCAGCAAGGCAUGCCAAGAGCACGACUAGCAGUCCGGCCUCCGCUCAAAUCCCAUCAAAGCUGCAUCCGUGCCACGCGUACACAAUUACGCACCCAAAAUACCAUGGGCACAGGCGGAGGCGUAGUAGUGGCUCAGUCAACAGUAUGGUAUCGCUUCGUAACCUUUCCAUUUACCCUUAAGGACAUUGCUUUAGUGCAGCUUCUCCAGAAGAGCCGGAUUGUCGGACUUACAUAGGAGAGGAAACCCAGGAGGCAACAGGCUUUGGGCACAGCAGGAAACACCCAGGUGGAAUCUAUUUACGAUCAUUGUUUCUGCUUUAUCUAUCUGUACGUAGCCUGCCCCUGGAUAGGAUAAGUCAAAUAAUCCUAUUUAUCUCCGCUUAAUGCAUUCAUUGUAAACAUACGCUUAAACGUAUUAUUCCUCAAUGGGAGACCAUAUAUAGCGUCAGCUUAUUGUUCUUAUUUGAGCAUUUUAUUUACAAAUGUUUUGCAUCCGUACACUUUGGUACGCUUAGUUUGCCAGGGCUUCUUAUAACGCCCCAUAGUACAACAAGACAAGUUCGAACACUUUCAUUAGUGCGGCACCCCGAACUUAUAGCAUUAUAUGCAUCAGCUCCGAAUCAUGUCUUGGGUCUAUAGUUGGGAUAGCCCGGCUCCCUUGUUUUGGUGCCUUACGUUCCGUUAAUUUGGCUAAGGUAGCGCAGGGAGAACUACUGCGAUUGUGCCCUGGUUCUUACGGACGAGCACCUCCGUAGAGAAAGCACAAAACUGACCGGCAUGAUGUGGCGAGAGCUGGUCGCUGUUCGAGAGGUCUUAAAAUCCUUAAAGAAUUUUCCACUUUAGGCGAUAAUUCGGCUUUGUCCGAUAUAGGCGUGUAUAGCGCCCCAAUUCGGCCUUCCAGAUUCUAGGGGCUUCGCCGAAAUUUAAAAUUAGACUUCUAUGGCUAAGUGAAGGUUAUAAAGCCAUAUAGUCCGAUUGCCUUGUUCACUGCACUGGACACCUCCUUAAGGGACCAAACAUUUGGAUAAAGAGUGUCCAGGUUUUCCACGAACACCCCAGUACUAGUUACACGCGGGCGGAAGCCGACGACUGGCCUAGUUUCAAAAUUUGAUAAACAGGCGCACAAAAGGUAAUAUUUUAAAUAACAAAAGCACUACAUAGCGCAAGUAACUUCGUCUUUAAAUUACAAACAUGACAGAGGUGAAUUCAUUCGAAAAUUAUGUCUUUGGUACAUUCAUCGGCCACGAGGCAAGCACCCUUCAUAACGCCAUCAUAAUACUUCUCGGGGACGCGAUGUGGCUUGCCCUCUGGCGGCCCGUCCUUCACCAGCUUCUCGGCAUCCAGCUUGUCCCAAUGCACCUUUGCACAGGCAAGGGCCCGGCGGGCACCCACAAUGCAAACGGAUCGCUUGACGACUUCUAGUCGCGACAGGCAUCCACCAUCCGCUUGAUCAGGCCGAAGUAGCUGGUGGGUAGAAGCUCACCAGGCCAUAUCCGAACUAUGAGAUCCUUCAUAGCCACUUUGUCCGCCUUGUGGAUUUCGACCGACUGCUUCAGUUGGUCACUCAGAGGCGUUGAAUAUUCGGUCCCAACAUACUGGGACCAGAACAGCUUCUUCGUUGAGCUCCCCUCCUGGGCACGGUAGAACUCCGCAGCAUGUGAUACGUUGCGUGGCAGAUCUGCGAAUGCCCCUGGAGAGCUCUGGACUCAAGUAAGUAAAAGAAACACCUCCUCCACAUGUUUGCUUUGCAUAAAGAAUUUCUUACCCGCCGUUAUCUUUUUGGCCUCCUGGAUCUCCUGCUGUGCCCUAUCGGCUUCGGCCUUGGCGUCUUUUAUAUUUGUAAGGGCCUUCGCAAGCUCGGCCUCUUUUGUUUUAAGCUCAUGAUCCGCGGACUCAAGCUUCUUGCCGAGCUCCUGGAGCUCUUCUUGUACUUCGCCCACUCGGGCUUCUUGAUUUUUGCGCUCCUUGCGCUCCAAGGCCGCUUUGUGUUCGGCCUUGGAUAGCGCCUUCUUGAGACACGCCACUUCAGUGGUGGCCUCUGUUACCAAAUCAUGACGUCUUGUCAUUAGCAUAAUCAAAUUUUAUUUACCAUUCAUUAUAUGAAAGAUGGGAAUCAUUCACCUUUGCUCUCUUCAAGCUGCCUCCUCAUGAGGCCGAUCUCUCCCUGUGCCUGUUGUAAGUCCUGCGUUAGGUCGGCGAUUUCGGCCGUAUGAGCAGCAGCGGCCAGCAGCACAGCCUGUUUAUUCACAUUCAAACUUACUAUUAGACUCCUGCGGAUUAUAAUUGACCCUCCGUUCGGUUUUUCCUUCCGAACACCAAAUAGAGUAUCAGGGGCUACUACCUAUUGGGUGGUAAUUUCACACAUUUGUACUACUUACCUCAAAGCCUGUUAGUAGGCUGGUGCAGGCUUCGGUUAGUCCGCUCUUGGCGAACGAAACCUUUUGAAUCACCGCACUCAUGAGAGUACGGUGCUCUUCAUCUAUGGAAGCGCCACGAAGCGCUUCCAGCAGACAAUACAGCGCCUCGGGUGCAACGGAAGUCCUUGAUACAGACGGCCCUGCCUCCCUAACGAGGGGCUACCCGCCUGAAUCCAGAACCACUGAAGGCUCCGGGACAGUGUUCGGCUAAGAGUCCGGCUUACUUCGGUUCUCACCAACACGAUCCGCGGGGAUCUUCAACCCCGUGAGUCUGACGUCUGGAACACCGCCUUGAGGCGCCUCCAGGGCCACCUCCCCCAUCUCUGGGAGCCUUUGGGACAACACCUCCAUGUCAUCCGCAGGCCGAGGAGAAGUGGCUGUCGGAAGUGAGUUCAUUGCUGACUCACUCAAGGACCCGUCCGAAGAAUACACCUCGGGAUGGACCCUGGCCGGACUGCAUACAAGUUUGGCGUUAUAACAAAACUAUGAAGCAAAAUUACGAUUGACUGCAGAUACUUAUGAUUGCACUAGGGGCUUCUUCCUGGGCAGCCACCCUUCCUCACUAUCGGCGGCGGUGGCGGAGUAGUCCGGAUGGGACAUCUUUCCCUUCUUGGACGUCCCAGUCUCUCCCAUCGGGGUGGCCUUCCUCUUCUCCCCCCAACACGAGGAGGUGGAGUUUCUUCUUGUUUCCCCCCGCUUCCGCGGGAGGAAUCUGCCUCGUCAUCAUCAGACGACAAGGGUAUGACAGCCUUGCACCGGGGGCCUCUCCUGGUCCCCUGGUCCGCCGUCUCUGGCCCCCAUCCUUUCCGAAUGGGGUGGCCUCCUCCUCCUCUUCUUCUUCCCCUUCGAGGGAGGAGUGCGCCUCGUCGUCUUUGGACGAGGCUUGUGCAACCUUACGUCGGAGACCCUUUCGGGUCCUCGGGGCCUUCUUAUCGGCCUUCUUCUUCGGCCCCUUAUAGGGCGCCGGGACCAACAUCUUCAUCAGAAGAUCAUUAGCUGGGUUUUCUGGCAGUGGAGCCGGACAAUCAAUUUGCUCCGCUAUCUCCACAUACUCCUGAACAAAUAUACACAAUCACUUAAGGAUUCCCCAUGAAUACAUUGGGAAGAACCGAACCCGGUGGCAGCCUGAGAACUCACCUGGGUAGGGUGUCGUGCGGCGUGGAGCCCACGGUCCUUGGAUAUGAGUGGAGGUACUUCGGUGGCCUUGAACAACGCCUUCCACGCGUUCUUGUGCUUCAUGUCGUAGAUCCUAUGGAGCGUCUGGUGUUCGGCCGGGACGAACUCCCACAGAUUGAAUGCCCGCCUUUGGCACGGCAGAAUCCGGCGAACGAGCAUGACUUGGAUCAUGUUGACAAGCUUGAUGUUCUUGUCCUUCAUGCCCUUGAUGCAGUUUAUGAGUCCGGUCAGCUCUGUAGAUUCGCACCAUAGCAGGCCCUUCUGUUCCCAGGAGAUGAGCUGCAUAGGGUUCCUGAUUGGAACUCGGGGGUCGCUGCCCAGUUGGCGUCGCACGGCUCGGUGAUGUAGAACCACCCCGAUUGACACCCCUUCGCGGUUUCCGCAAAGCAGCCAUCAAGCCAGGUGACGUUAGGCAUUUUUCCCACCAUGGCUCCUCCGCACUCCGCUUGCUGGCCACUCACGAUCUUCAGCUUCACGCAGAAGGUUUGGAGCCACAAGCCGAAAUGAGGCUUGAUGCGGAGGAAAGCCUCGCACACGACGAUGAACGCCGAGAUGUUGAGGACGAAGUUCGGGGCUAGAUCGUGGAAAUCUAGCCCGUAGUAGAACAUGAGCCCGCGGACGAAGGGGUGGAGUGGAAACCCCAGUCCGCGGACGAAGUGGGCAAGAAACACGACCCUCUCAUGGGGUCCUGGAGUUGGAAUGACCUGCCCGCCGUCUGGUAGCCGGUGCGCUAUGUCUGCGGCCAAGUAUCCGGCCGCCCGAAGACUUGCGAUGUUCUUCUCCUUCACGGUGGAAGCCACCCAUUUGCCUCCUGCUCCGAACAUGUUUAGCUGUGUGGAGAAGACUUGAACUAGGGCGCUGGAGCUCGAGGAGGCGAGAGUGGGCAGAGGAGGAAGAAGGCGUGCGUAAGAAUGGAGAACUCUUAUCCCUUUAUAGAGGCGAUGAAAGCGGUGCGCCUCCCCACUAGCCAGUUGAGAAUCGCUUUUCCCAAGCGCCACGAUUUAUGGCACGAGGGGUUUACCCAUACCCGUAUUGAUGAGAAUCUCGUGAUAAGGGGACAUGAUCUCUGCUUUGACAAGACGUGUCGAGGAAACCGCCUCGCAAUACGUGCUCUGGCUGGUUGUGAAAAGAAAAACAGUUUGAAUAAUAACCUGACCAUAAUGACAUAUCACGUCGUCUGAAAGGUUGUCAGCUGAAGUAUCAUUCUCUCUACGGUGGUAUGUGAAGAUCAUUUUGCAGAUUCGGACAUGGUCUACGUGUUUGAUAAUAACCUUGGAGUAUUCGGAGGAGGAACCCGCCUUGCAAUGCCGAAUACGAGACUGCGCGCUGGACUCAUCGUCAUUGAAGCCUGGUUCAGGGGCUACUGAGGGAGUCCUGGAUUAGGGGGUAUCCGGAUAGCCGGACUAUAUACAUCGUCCGGAGUAUCGAACCGUCAAGAUACAAGACUCAAGACUUCGGCUCGUGUCCGGAUGGGACUCUCCUUUGCGUGGAAGACAAGCUUGGCGAUCCGGAUAUAUUAUUUCCUUCCUUGUAACCGACUCCAUGUAAACCCUAGCUCUCCCGUGUCUAUAUAAGCCGGAGAGGAUGGUCCUUAGAAGGCCGAUAAGAAUUACAAUCAUACCAUCAUAGGCUAGCUCUUAGGGUUUAGCCUUUACGAUCUUGUGGUAGAUCUACUCUUGUACUACUCAUAUCUUCAAUAUUAAUCAAUGAGGAAGUAGGGUUUUAGCUCCAUCGAGAGGGCCCGAACCUGGGUAAACAUUGUGUCCCUUGCUCCCUGUUACCAUCAGCCUAAGAUGCACAGAUCGGGACCCCCUACCCGAGAUCCGCCGGUUUUGACACCGACAGGGAUCCUUCACCGGUGGCCAUCUUCAUCAUCCCGGCGCUCUCCAUGACAAGGAGGGAGUAGUUCACCCUCAAGGCUGAGGGUAUGUACCAAUAGCUAUGUGUCUGAUCUCUCUCUCUUGUGUUCUCUCUCGUGUUCCCUCUAUGGCACGAUCUUGAUGUAUCCCGAGCUUUGCUAUUGUAGUUGGAUCUUAUGAUGUUUCUCCCCCUCUACUCUCUUGUGAUGAAUUGAGUUUCCCCCUUUGAAGUUCUCUUAUCGGAUUGAGUCUUUUAUGAGAACACUUGAUGUAUGUCUUGUCGUGCUUAUCUGUGGUGACAAUGGGAUAUCAUGUGCCACUUGAUGUAUGUUUUGGUGACCAACUUGCGGGUUCCUCCCAUGAACCUAUGCAUAGGGGUUGGCACACGUUCUUGACUCUCCGGUAGAAACUUUGGGACACUCUUUGAUGUACUUUGUGUUAGCUGAAUAGAUGAAUCUAAGAUUGUGUGAUGCAUAUCGUAUAAUCAUGCCCACGGUUACUUGAGGUGACAAUGGAGUAUCUAGGUGACAUUAGGGUUUUGGUUGAUUUGUGUCUUAAGGUGUUAUUCUAGUAUGAACUCUAUGAUAGAUCGAUACGAAAGAAUAACUUUGAGGUUGUUUCAUACCCUACCAUAAUCUCUUCGUUUGUUCUCCGCUAUUAGUGUCUUUGGAGUGACUCUUUGUUGCAUGUUGAGGGAUUUUUAUAUGAUCUAUCUAUGUUAUUAUUGUUAAGAGAACUUGCACUAGUGAAAGUACGAACCCUAUGCCUUGUUUCCUAUCAUUGCAAUACCGUUUGCGCUCACUUUUAUCAUUAGUUACCUUGCUGUUUUUAUAAUUUCAGAUUACAAAUACCUAUUUCUUCCAUCCAUAUUGCACUUGUAUCACCAUCUCUUCGCCGAACUAGUGCACCUAUACAAUUUACCAUUGUAUUGGGUGUGCUGGGGACACAAGAGACUCUUUGUUAUUUGGUUGCAGGGUUGUUUGAGAGAGACCAUCUUCAUCCUACGCCUCCUAUGGAUUGAUAAACCUUAGGUCAUCCACUUGAGGGAAAUUUGCUACUGUCCUACAAACCUGUGCACUUGCAGGCCCAACAACGUCUACAAGAAGAAGGUUGUGUAGUAGACAUCAGCCACCCUCCAAGCCGAGUAUGAGACCCAGGUGGCGAACUGGGCCGAUUCGGAGCAGGCGCUGAGCGACGGCUGUCGGUGUCAAAACCGACGGAUCUCGGGUAGGGGGUCCUGGUCUGUGCGUCUUAGGCUGAUGGUAACAGGAAGCAAGGGACACAAUGUUUACCCAAGUUCGCCGGUUUUGACACCGACAUUGGUGCUUUCAUUGAGAGUUCCUCUGUGUCGUCGCUGCAAAGGCUCGAUGGCUCGUCUCGUUGUCAAGGACGACAUCACCUCUGGGGGAGCGCUGGCUGUAGCCCAGACUCUCCGGCUUGGCAGCUUCAUUAUGACCGCCCCAUCGGCUGUCGCGCCGACGAUGGCCUCUCGGCUCAUCACGCAUAACCUUCGCAUCGAUUUGGAGCUUGCCAAAAAGAUGGAUCCGAUUGAGUUCUCCUCCCUUAAUGAGCUCUUCGAUCGCAUCGCCGCUUUGGGAGUCGCUACGGACUAUGACCGGAUUGGGCUUAAACCCAACCAAAGGGACAUUAGAUCCCCGCCGACCACCCAUGAGAUAGCGGUAGUGGAGGAACCACACGUGGGUUGCCCCUCAACUUUGAGGACGAAUUAUGUCCGGAUCACCGAACUCAGUGAGCCGAACACCCACCCAAAGGAAGACAUGGCCCAGGUCCCAGACUUAGAAUCAGGCGUUGGGCCGAAGGGAUUAGGUAAUACUCCAGAUCCUGAACUGUCAGGCUCGGAACUUCCCGUGCCCCCGGGCGUCAGAUCGGAUCAGAAUACGGAUUCAGCCAACGACGCUCGCUCGGACUUAAACCGUCUCUCCCAUAUCAUGCAGGAGACCUAGGAGACGGUACACCGUUACUGGGCCAAAUUCCUCCUCGCUCUUAACAAGGUCAAGGACUGCCACGAGGAGGACGUAGUCUCUCUUUUCUGCAGAAACUGCAUGAACAAAGGACUCCUUAAUGCUAUAAGUCACCGUGACAUAGUACACUUUACGGACUUGGCAACCAUAGUACAGAAGUACUGUGCGAUGGAAAGCGCCUGGAAGACCCAAACAGAAUUUUGGGAUAGUACGGCCCUCACCAGAACCUUUGUCCGAACUAAACAGCCGAACUCUCGUAAGUCGACUGAUUCAAUUCCCAAGAAACCAAAGCCCGCCCCAGGGCAUGGAACCGUAUUGGAAGGAUGGCUCAAUGGGCCAUGUAAGCUCCGUAGUACGCCGGACGCAAUGCCAACCCAUAACCUUAGGGCAUGUUGGAUACUCCGGCAGGUAGCAAAAAGUGGCGAGGAUCUCCUUGAGUGCCACAAAGCAGAACAACAUCCUGCCAAGGAACACAAUACGGUACUGACGGUCUUCGAGACCUUUGCCUCAAACAAUAGGCGUAAGCGAGCUCAUCGAAGGUCCGCUGAAAUCUGCCAUGUGGCAAAAAUAAAUCCGUGGAACGACAUUGCUAUAACUUUCAAUGCAAGUGACAAACCCCAAUUCUAUUCCAUCCGGGCACCAACCGCUCUAGUCCUUAGCCCAAUAGUGGAUGGCUUUCAACUCACUAAAGUACUCAUGGACGGCGGAAGCGGAUUAAACUUAAUCUAUGAAGAAACACUCAAGAAGAUGGAAAUUGACAAAAGCCGCAUUGAACAAAGCGGCACAACCUUCAGGGGAAUUAUCCCUAGUCGGGAAGCACGGUGCGCAGGGAAAAUCACACUCGAUGUGAUAUUCGGCACCCCGAAAAAUUACAGGUCCGAAGAAAUCACGUUCCAAGUGGCUCCCUUCAGCAGCGGAUACCACGCCCUUCUAGGGCGAGACGCGUUUGCAAGCUUUCAAGCUAUACCCCAUUACGGGUACAUGAAGCUUAAAAUGCACGGACCCAAUGGAAUUAUCACUCUAGCUAGUGAUCAGGACGUCGCACUCCGUGCCGAAAACAAAACCGCAACACUAGCCUUGGAAGCCCUAUCCGAAGCCCUAGCAGUAGAAGAAUUAACAACACUGCGCGCCACCGUGGACAGGGACGACGUGAUACUCGACAAGUGACCCAAGUCCACCUCAUUCAAACCCGCAGAUGAGAUAGUCAAAUUCCAAGUCCACCCAACGGACCUCAUGAAGACAACUUCCAUCGGGACACAGUUGAACCCCGCUAUGGACAUUGCACUGCACGACUUCUUACGCGAGAAUUGGGAUAUCUUCGCCUGGCACCCAUCGGACAUGCCGGGCAUCCCACACGAAUUGGCCGAACACAGCCUUAACAUACUGAAGGGAUACAAACCUGUUAAAAAAA
rnacentral:lncRNA from 1 species